AAGAAGUUUUCCAGAAGGCUAAAUCACAGUCCUCCCCAGUCAAGUUCCCGAUACAGAGAAAAUAGGUGAUUUCAUUAAAUCAUACUCAAUGUUUAGACUUUGAGAUUGUCUUUUAUAAGAAUGUAUAGUCUUUGAUUAUCUUUUACAUAAGGGCAAGUAAUGUCUACUCUUUUAUUUAUCCUGGAAAGUAUAACUAGGUCCUUCUCUACAAAGAAAAAUCUAGAUCAUAUUUGUAUAGCUUGGAAAGAUUGAGAAUAAUAUUUGACAUUUAUUAUUUAUUGUUUAUUAUUUUUAUUUCUAACUUCAGAUUGCAGGGGAAUCCAACUACUUUUUGCUUAAAUUAAUUUUUCCCUUAUGGUUUCAGCAGUGUUAGUAUAUACAUGUAGUACAUGCCUGAUUAUAUGUAUAAGACUAUUUGUACUGUAUGUAAUGUAAAGACAGGUAUAGAUGCCUUUAUGUACAGAUGACUAAUUGUGUAGAUGUAGAUGUGUAUAAGAUUAAGGUUAUGCUGUUAAAAAAGUUUUUCCUUUUAAACAUUUUUAGAGUACUUAAAAGUUUUCUGGUAGUUCCCAUACUUGUAUUAUGAUGGUGAGAUAAAAAAAAUGAUGUUACAAGAAUUAAAUGCAACUUUUUGCGUUUAGAGAUUUCUACCCUGUCCACUUUAGCUUUAUUUACAUAAAAGUGAUCAUAUAUCUCUAGAAGUCGUGAUGAGAGGAAAAAAGAUGAUCGUUCUCGCAAAAGAGAUUAUGAUCGAAACCCUCCUCGAAGAGAUUCAUACAGAGACCGGUACAAUAGAAGACGAGGGCGAAGUCGCAGUUACAGCAGGAGUCGAAGUCGGAGUUGGAGUAAAGAAAGGCUUCGCGACAGAGAUAGAGAUAGAAGCAGGACUAGAAGCAGAAGCAGAACACGAAGCAGGGGUAAAUAAUACAAGUUUAUAUAUUUUUUGGUUAGCAUUUUUUUACUGUGAAAAAAAUUCACAUUAUGGGUUUUUAAAAAUUGUUCAACAUUUUGCCAAUUUUAUCUUUAUUUUUGUCUGUUAUGAUGUAUUCUGUGGUCUAAGUGUAUAUUUUAAAACAGAUUACUUUAAAAGUUUAUUCCAUGAAAGUUAAAACCAUAAUUAUCACUGUACAUUUAGCAGGAUAUCUACAGCAAAAGACUGUAUUCAUUCUUUGAAUGUAGACUACUUAAGUGGCUAUUUGGAAAACAUUUUGGCGGAGUCUUAAAAUGUUAAAUGUGCAUCUAAUAAAGGACCCACCCAUUCCACUCUUAGAUAUUUACCUAAAAGAAAUGAAAGCAUGUGUUCACACAGAUUUGCAUAUAGAUGUUCAUGGCAGCUUCAUUUGUAAUAGCCCAAACUAGAAACAACCCCAAUGUCUAUGAGUAGUUGGAUAAACACAUAGUUGUACCAUAACAUGGAUAAAAAGGGGGAAAAAAAAAAAAAAAAACUAUUGAUACAUUUAACAAAGUAGAUCAAUCUCAAAGUAGUUAUGUUGAGUUGUUGAGUGAAAGAAUACAGGUAAGUAUAUAUACAUAUAUGGUGUGUGCAUGUGUGUAUAUAAUAUAUAUAUAUAUAUAUUUUAGAAAAUAUAAGCUUUGAUGACAAAAAGCAAAUAAUUAUUGCCUAAGAUGAAGUAGGGAAGAAUGGAUUACAGAUUACCAGGGACUAUGAGUGUAUUUUGGAGGUAAUGAGUAUAUUUAGUUUGAUUAUGGUGGUGGUUUCAGAGGUAUAUACAUGAAUCACAACUUUUUACAUUGUAUACUUUACAUUUAGAUUUUUAUUUAUCAGUUAUACCUCAGAACUAUAAUAGUUUAAAAGUUUUAUUUCAGAUGUGUAUAUUUGCAAGAAACUGUCAUUUCCAACUUGUGAUCCCCCUCCCUGUCCCCAGUAUAUACUAUUGAAAGAGAUAUCUGACUAAAACAUCUUUGAAUAAAAUACUUAAACUUAUAUUUUUGUUACUUUUAAUACUGUUAAUGUGCUUUGUUUGAGCCCUGAACUUGUUUAUUCUUUUCUUAUAGCCUUUUCUUCUGUGAGUAGGUAUACUAGGUUCUUCACACAUUUUGCCAGUUAACCUCUUUAAUGUAUUUUCUCUUGCUUGGAAUCAUAUACAGCCUAGUUUUCUUUAUAUUUAAUAUGAACUCCUUUGUUUUCCCUCUUUUGCUACCAGGAAUUUAACCCAGGGAUACUUAACAUUGAGCCAUAUUCCCAGCCCAUUUUCCUUUUUAUUUUGAGACAGGGUCUCACUAAGUUGCUCAUAGUCUCUGUAAGUUGCUGAUGCUAGUCUUGAACUUGUGAUCCUCCUGUCUCAGCCUCCAGACUCACUGGGAUUAUAGGUGUAUACUAUCAUCCCUGGCUCUAUUAUUUUAUAAAAUAUUGUGUUCACUAUAAAAAAGCCAUAUCUUUAGGUGGAUAAUAAGAAAAUAUUUAUCACACGAAAAAUAGCCAUACUUUUUAUUAAAUACUUUGUUUUAUAGGCUGCAAUUAUACAUACUAGGAUUGCAAUGAAGGAAAUAACAAAUUUGGUUUUUUGUAUAAACAAAAUGCAUAGGAAAAACUCAUUAAAUACUGCAUUUUCAGGUAGUUUUAUAGUUUAGUUCAUAUUGAAAUAACUUACCUUGGAACAGUGUGUAUUAAUUGAAUAGUUUUUAAAAUAAAACAAGGAUUGUGCAAAAUUUAAACUUUCUCUAUGUUUAGCAAAAAUAUUUCUUAUAUCUUGUACAUUUUUUUUUUUAAUAGGGUGUAGUUUUAUAAGUCAUUUAUAUUUUGUUUGCAGAAAGGGAUCUAGUAAAACCUAAAUACGACCUGGAUAGAGCAGAUCCAUUAGAAAAUAAUUAUACUCCAGUGUCUUCGGUACCCAAUAUCUCUUCUGGCCACUAUCCUGUACCUACUUUGAGCAGCACCAUUACCGUAAUUGCACCCACUCAUCAUGGUAAUAACACUACUGAAAGUUGGUCUGAAUUUCAUGAAGACCAGGUGGACCAUAACUCUUUUGUAAGACCACCAAUGCCAAAGAAAAGGUGUAGAGACUAUGAUGGUAAGUGUUUUUCAACUGUUUCAUAAAGUAUUAAAUUAAUACUUCAGCUUCCUAACUUCUUUCAGUUGUAUAGUUAUUCAGACACUUAAUUUCUGGUAGUAGAAAUAGUCAGAAAUCAGUUUUUAUCAUCUCUUAAGUUCCCUAAUAUUAUUGUACUUUGAUCAGUCACCUCUGAUAACUUAGUAUCAGCUUAAAAAUAGUAUUUAUUUGUAUGUAAGUCUUAAUAUAUUGUUCAAGUUUACCAAAUAAGAAUAAAUAUCUACUGAGUUAUUUUUAAAGAAAUUGGCUACUAAAACAUUUUUGGCAAAACUGACUUCUUUACAUAUGAGUGAUUGUUCAAAUGUAAAAAGGAUCUUGACAUAUGAGACUUUUAUGAGAAUUGAAGACUUAUAAGGAUUUGGUGUAAAAAUUUUAUGAGUAGGGCUAAAACCAUAGUCACACUAUUCUUUUAGUUUUAAACAAGAGAUUUAAAUGAAGAAUAUGUUUUUAAUAAGAAAAACACACUAGAAAUUAUAUCAGUUUUAUGUUAUUUGCUAACUGGGUAUACUUAUUUUAAUUCUGGUGAUUUUUUUAAGUGUAUAUGUUAGAUGUAUUUUCACUUGAUUAUAUUACUGGAAAAGUGCAGAUUAUUCAUGUGAAGUGGUUAAUUAAUUACAUUUUUGCCCAAUAUUUAAAACAGUCACCUUGUAAGUAUUUUAGUUUUCUUAACUUAGAGACAAUUUAUAUUUCCCGUGCUUUUCACAUUUCUUUUUAACUUUCCUCACAGAAAAGGGUUUUUGUAUGAGAGGAGACAUGUGCCCUUUUGAUCAUGGAAGUGACCCAGUAGUUGUAGAAGAUGUCAAUCUUCCUGGCAUGUUGCCUUUCCCAGCACAGCCUCCUGUUGUUGAAGGACCACCUCCUCCUGGACUCCCCCCACCUCCACCAAUUCUUACACCCCCGCCUGUGAAUCUCAGACCCCCAGUGCCACCUCCAGGUCCAUUACCACCCAGUCUCCCACCUGUAACAGGUCAGAAGAUAUGUUUGUUUGUCUGUGUUUAUUAUCUGUUUGUUUAUACUCUGUUUAUAAAGUCAAUAGUUUGAUACUUGCUUUUGUUAAAAGCAUCUAAAGAAUGUCCAUAGAUGCCUAAUAGAAAUUAAGCAAUAUAUUCUUAUUUGGAAUAUACCUACAUGUUGCAUCCUAUGCCAAACACUUUUCUGUGGUUUGGAAUGACCUUGUGAAUUAUGUAUGUCACUGAUAUAUCCCAUCUACCUUUAGUCCUUUAUAGUUUAAAGCAAACCUCUUUUGGAAUACGUUAAAAGGAUGAUGUGCCAUAGAAAACUAGUUGUAAGAUUUUGGUGUUUGUAGAAGAUUACAGUUUGAUAAAUGAGAAUAUCAUGUUUGGAUAUAUAAUAAUUUAUUUUAUUUGUUUGCUUCCAGAUGAUAUUUCUUAUUCUUUGGUUUUGACAGGACCACCACCUCCACUUCCUCCUUUGCAGCCAUCUGGCAUGGAUGCUCCCCCAAACUCUGCAACCAGUUCUGUUCCUACUGUAGUAACAACUGGCAUUCAUCACCAACCUCCUCCUGCUCCACCCUCUCUUUUUACUGCAGGUGCAGUUUUGGCCCUCUAUUUUCAUAGUGUAAUAUAGUUUUAAAGCAGAGUUUUUAGAUGAGGAAUUUAAAAAUCUCUAGAAAGUUCAAUGCUGUCUCAGGACAGUUUUUCUUACUAAAAUAAAAUAGGAUACAAUGUAUUCUUGGUGAAUAUAUAUCAAAUAAUCCCUCAGGUAUAAUUAUUAAGAAAAUUGCCAGUUUUCUUCUUAGGACUUUCUAUAAAGCUUUUCAUUUUAAUAAUAUAAAACAUGUUAAGUUUUAUGUUAGUAAUGUUAUCCAGUUACUUUUUCUAUUAUCAGUAUUUUAAAAAUUACCACAUGGAGUUUUAUAAUUGUUUUUUAAUUACAGUUUUUGUAUUACCAGAUACAUAUGACACAGAUGGCUACAAUCCUGAAGCCCCAAGCAUAACAAACACUUCCAGACCUAUGUAUAGACACAGAGUGCAUGCACAAAGGCCUAACUUGAUAGGACUAACAUCAGGGGAUAUGGAUUUACCACCAAGAGGUACUGAAUCUUCUUAUUUUUAUGAUAUCAAAGUGGGAAAUCAUUUAUAAAGAACAAUUACUCCUGCAGUUAUUUGGGUUGAGUUAGGGAUGGUGAUUUUGUUGCCUGAAUCCUUUGGUCUCACAUGAGAAAAAAGGAAAUGUGUACUUUUGUAUCUGUAUUAUAGGGGCCUUUAUUCUGUUAAAGAGGGAAAUUUCCCAAAAGUAUGUUUUUCUCAGGUAGCUUUUUUUGGGGGGAGUUUCUUACAUUUUAUUCAAUUUGUAGUCUUAAUUGGUUCAUUUAAAUUCCUGACAGUAAUGCUUUAAUUCCUUAAUUCUGUCCUCACUUGGAUAAUGAAAUUAUCUUUUCAAACUUGUGCUGAUGUAUAUUUUUAUUUUUGUUCACUUUUGAAAUGUUAAAAUCCUGUAUAGGUUUGCUUAUGAUAUUUUUAAGCAGCAGGAAUUGUGUUAGGAAGUGACUCAUUUUUAAAAACGUUUAGAUAAAAUUUCUAAAAAUUAGACUGAUCCCAUCACAGGCCAGGGCAUCAAGAAAAGUGCUAAACUAGAGGUAUAAAUUGUUAAGUAAGUUUAGAGGAAGGACAGAGUUCACACUAAUUUGAAAGAAAAACAUUUGCUACCGAUAACAUUUGAUACAGGAAAACCAAGGAAUUACCAGAAGUAAUAGAGACUGUUUACCUGGAAUUAACUUUAAAACCUCAAGUGUAUUCCAGGCUUUUCUUCUGUCUUACUUAGCCAGACUAAACAAAAUCAAAGCUCAUUGGUUGUGAAUAAAAGUUCAACCUAAGUAACAAUCGUUGCCUAAAAUGUGGUUUAAUAAACUGUGGUUACUUAUACUUUGUGCUUUUUAUUUGUUCAUUGGCAGCUAUCAAUCAGAUUCUGAACAUCUUUCUUAAAUUUGAAGAACCUCUUGUGAUGGGAGUGUGAGGAAUAUUUUAAUUCAAAUUUAUAUUCUCUUUGAGAUUAGAGGAUAUUUAAUAUAUAUGCCUAUAUUCUCACAUCUGUCUUUAAAAUUCACCUCAAGGCAUUACAAUAAUUACCAUUACCAUUAACAACAGUAGAAAAAAGAUUUUAAAGAUAGUUUCUGUGUAGUAAUAUGUAAAUUGUUAUAAUUGAAAAGUAGACAUUUAAAAUUGUAGCUAUUUGUGAUAUUUACCCAUCUUCUGCAUGCCUCUCCUGUCUGACUAGUUUAUAGAAAUCCCCUUUCCUUCCUUAGGUCACUAUUUAACACUUACUUUCUUUUCUUCAUGCUAAUAUUCCUUGCUCUCUUGAUACUUCAAGUCAUGUCUUUCUUACCUUGUUGAUUUGGAAUGGCAUAAAUAUAUGCCACUAUAGAUUAAUAUAUAUUAGACCCAUUCUAAUGACAGACUGAUUUCUAAUUGUGAUUGAAAGAAGGAAGAGCCAUUAGAACACUUGCAUAUAAUUUUUACUAUGUAGAAUUUGGAGUUAAUGGUAAUUUUAACUAUUUCUUUCUUGUUAAUUUCAACUCUUAAUGCAUAUAGUUAUAAGUUACAGGAAGUGAUGGAGAGGUAAAUGUCUUGCAGUCUGGCAUCAUUACUUUGAAACUUGAAUGCCUUUUCUCAUAUAAACAUUGUAAUUCAUAGUGAUUAUUUUAGUACUCUUCUUUACAUUGUGCACUAUUUUUGUGAGCUAAUUUAUGGAUAUAUUCUACAUUAAUAACAUUGUUAUUAAUGUACCAAACAACUGACUUUGUAGCCCAUUUAAAUUGAGGAUUGCCUGUACUUCUGUUUUCAUGUCUUUUUUCAGUAUUCUCUUUCAUCCGUAUGUUCUCAUCUUUCUCCUAUUUAGGUUUCAAAUGUACUGUUCUGGAUUAUACACAUUUACUGACUAUGUACCAAGAGGAACUUGCAUCUUUAUUUUUAACACCUUUCUUUUAAGUAAAUAUUAAUGAAAGGGAAUCUGAGUGAGAGAAUAAAGGUGAAUUGGCACAAACCCAUUUCAGUUACUGGAAGGAAAACACUACCAUCUCCUUUAGUGAGUUUUCAGAUAUAGAACAUAUUCAAGUGAAAAAACAAUAUUGGAGAGCUCAAAGAUUGUCCAAAAGGGCCAGUGAGCCGGAGAUAGGAAACAGGAAUAAGACUAAAAAUCUCACUGCAGAAUUGGUCAUGGUUCUAGUGGGUGUAGAAACUGCUGCUUGCGCUAUGACCAUUAUUAAUGCAAGUCAGAGAUUUCCACCUGAUCUUCUGUGGAGAUGGAAGAUAAAUCAACUAGAGUAAAGAAAUAGAUAAAGAAUGUGCACUGUUUAUAUGAUAUUUUUGAGAAACUGAAAGAAUUUGUUUUUGGAAUAGGAAGAAAGAGAUAUGGAGGGAGUCAAGAGGCCAGUUGAGGCAUUUAAAGAAUUCUGUAGUAGAGGUGAUAGUAUCUGGGUUAGGGUAAUAACAGUGGGAAUUGCUAAAAUAGGUUUAAUAGAAUUGACAUUUACAACUUGCUGACUUGUGUGUGGGGUAUAACAUAGAACAAAUGGAAAGGAUAAAAUUAGGUACCAGAUUUCUGCCCUGGAUAAUUAGGCAAAUGAUAAUAUCAUUCACUGAGAAGAACGGAUUUGUUAGGAAGAUAAAUUUAGUUUUGGAAGUUUUUAAUUAUUGUGCCUAUCAGUUAUUUGAGUAGAAAUAUUCAGUAGGAGGUAGGAUUUAGAAGUAUGAGGUCCAUGAGAGAUAGCUCACUAGAAAAUAAAGAUGUUUGAAGUCACAAAUAUGUAGUACAUUGGCUUUUAAUCUUCUGUCAUAUUAGUAACAGUGUGAAGGUAAGGGAAGAUCAAAGAAGCUGUAACAAAGUUUGCAAGUUUGGCUGAAUAUAAGUUCUAAAACCCUUUUUUUGUGUUUCUGAUAACUAUCCCCAUGCCAGCCGCACAUACACAGCCUACUCCCAAGAAUCAUUGAAAAAGAUGAAUGAAGCCAUGGUAAUGGAUACAAGAUGUCCUAGAGACUGCAUAGAGUGAGAGGAGAAAGACCAAAUAAAUAGGGGAAGAUACAUAAGGGACUGAAAAAAAUGAAGCCCAAAGGGUACAAGAUAAAAGCAAUGGGUAGGAAUUUCUGAAAAUACAGUGAGGAUAAUAUCUAAGGAGAGGAAGGUGAUCAACAACAGCAAGUGCUCCUUAAAAGUCAAGUAAGAGGAAGACUGAGAAGUAUUCAUAGACCAAGCAACAAGUUAUGACAUCAUUGAUCUUAGUAUGAGCAAGUUAAGUGCAAUAAUGGAAGCAGCUGUCAACAUUCAGAGGAUUAGUGAGUGAGAAAAGUAGGUAGUAAGGAAAUAAAGUUAGCCAAGAGUAGAAUUCUCUUAGGAAAUGGCUGGGAAUGAGAUAUGGAGGGACUAACAGAGAGAGAAGAGAAAGUAGCUGAAGGGGAGAUUUGUUUUAUAGGAUUUUGUUUGUAAAAAUGGAAUAAUUUGAGGUGUGGAAUUAAGUGUUUAUGUGUUGAUGAGAAGUGCCAGUGCCAUGAGAAAGGUAGAAGAAGAUAAAAAGAAAAACAAUCGGGCUCUAGAGUAUUGAUUUUGGGCCUCCUUCUGUAUAGAUUAGUUGACAGCGAGAAAAAUCUAGAAGCAAAAAGUCCACGUAGAACAGACUAGAAGAAAGUAAGGCAGUUUUGUUCCAAGGCUCUUUUAGCAGGAAAUGUGUAAAAUAUUGAAAAUAGCUGAUAUUUAUAGCUCUUUUGCACUAUAUUUCAGUCUCAAAUAUUUUCCUUUUUAAGUGGGGACAACUUUCAUUAUAUUAAUGUUCCUCUUUAGAUAGGCAGCUCAGUUCAUUCACAACUCUGCUAAAGGUCAUUCAGUCAGUGGUAAAUUAAAAUCUUAGAUUGUACAUUUGACUUUAAAACUGAAUUUCUGCUUCAAGGUGAUUUAUUUGUAUAUUUUUAUAUGGAAUUGUGAAAGUGAUGGCAGAUGGGAGUGGUGACAUGGGUUUUACCCUUAAUGAAGUGACCUACAGACUAGUAGAAUAGAGGAGGGGAAUAGAGGAAGGUGAGAGGAGGGAAAGAGGAAGCACUAGGGACUGAAAUGGAACAAAUUAUAUUACAUACAUAUAUAAUUAUGCCAAAAUGAACCCCACCCCACUAUUAUGUAUACUAUACGGCAGUAAUAAAAACAUUUAGAGAAAAAAGUAGCUUACAAAUCACGUUUUUAUUUGGCUUUUGAGAAUUAUUGAUUAUGUUCUUGUGCACGCGCGCGCACACACACACACACACACACAAAAAGCCAGAACUUUUUAAAUAUAAAUUUAAGGAAGUAGCUAUAAAAAACUGAAAUAUUAAUCUAUACUUUCUUUCAUUUUCUUUUGUUUUAACACAGAAAAGCCUCCUAAUAAAAGCAGUAUGAGGAUAGUAGUGGAUUCAGAAUCAAGGAAAAGAACCAUAGGUUCCGGAGAGCCUGGAGUUCCUACAAAGAAGACUUGGUUUGAUAAGUAAGCUGACAGGAAAAAUUGGAGAAUUAUAUUGUACACAGAUUUUUGGGAUUAUUACUAUAUCACAAUAUGUUACAUUUUUUCUGUUCUAUAAGCAAAUCCCCAAAUAAAAUUUAAGGUUUUUUUCUAGAAAUUUUAAAGUUCAUUGUUUGGUACUAGAAAGGCAUUUUCUUGUAAAAGCAGUAUAGUGGCUAAGAACCACAUUGCUUUUUCUUCUAUCUACUUCCCCUUCCUCCAAAAGAGAUUACUCUUUACUUGACAUAUAUUUUAAUACUAGGUAUAUGAAGGGUGGUCAUGAAUACCAUAUCAUUAGGAAAAAAAGGUAUGGAUUAGGUCUGGGAAGAUCUUAGCAUAUAGGCCAUUUCUCUUUAAGAGCUAGAAAGAGUUGUUACCGGAUUUAAGAUGUAGGAAAGGUUCAGAGAAAGGUAUAAGGAAUCAGAAUGUUGGGGAGGGUGUCAUGAGUCAUUUAUAAAUUUUCAUUUGUGAACUGAGAUGAGGACCAUGCUUUUGAGCUUUAAUAUUUAAAAACACAUAGUUUCUAGUUCUGGCUUUGUGAUUAUUUCUAUGAUUUAAGGCCAACAGUACACUCUGGGUCACACUUUUGUCCCCUUUUCAAAUGUCAAGUGUAUUGUAUGUACAUUAAAAAAACAAACCUGGAAAGAGGUUGAGGUGGUCAUUAUUUGUACCAGUAACCAAUAAUAACCAAAUUUAAAAUUUAACUGAAGUUUUUAAAUAGGAUACAUUUCAGUAAACUAGCUUUGGCAGAAAUGGAACAAAAGUUAUCUGUGAAAACUGACUAAAUUGGGGUAUGAGUUAAAUGUUAAAUAAGAGCAUGUUAAAUAAGAGCAGAUCAGAAGUUUGAAAAAGUAACCAAGUAUUAUAAUAACAGAACCAUGAAAGAUGAUAACACUAUUAAUUUAGAAGCUGUUUGGAAGAUAAUUACUUCAGUUUUUAUUAAUUUUCAGUACUUUCAGUUUUGGGGGGAAAUUUGGACUUUUGUUUUAUAUUUAAAACUUUAUUCUUUUGUACUUAUAGGGCUCAGGAUUUAUAAAUGUGUUGAUCAGCUUGAUUUUUGUUUAUAGGCCAAAUUUUAAUAGAACAAACAGCCCAGGCUUCCAGAAGAAGGUUCAGUUUGGAAAUGAAAAUACCAAACUUGAACUUAGAAAAGUUCCUCCAGAAUUAAAUAAUAUCAGCAAACUUAAUGAACAUUUUAGUCGAUUUGGAACAUUGGUUAACUUACAGGUAAGAGCUAUAAAAUGAUUCUCUUGUCCCUGCUUAAUUAUUUAGGGACCUUAAUAAGAAAACCACUUUUAUAAAGCAAUAUUAUGGAAAUUUGUUAAUAUUCUAAAGUUGGGCAUUAUAAUAGUCUGUUUUCAGUUACUGUAGUGAAAUACCUGAUGCAGGCUAACCAGAGACGCAUAUUUAGCUCUUAGUUUUGGGGGCCGAAAGAUCAGGUUGUGCCAUUGGCUUGUCCUCUAAUGAGGGCCUAAGGGUGGAUGGUAUUACGAAAUGGGAAUACAUGUGAGAAGAAGUGAUUACAUCUCAAAACAUGAACUGAUGCAGUCGUGCUUGCUAUUGUGAGAGCUCAGAGAUCCACAAGAACUAUCUAAACAAAUUCCUUAACCCUUCUAAGUGCUGUUCCCCUGAUAACCUAAAGAACUCCCAUAAGGCCCCACUUCUUAAAGGUUUACACUAUGUCCCAACAUCAUUACACUAAGAAUAUAGGCUUCUAACACAUGAAUGCUUAAAGGGACACACUCAUCCCAUAUCCAAACCACAGCAGACAUGAAAUGAAACUACCUUUUAGAGAAAAAAAAAAAAAAAAAAAAGAUUGAUUGAUAAGUUGUUGAUUUAUACACUGAGUUAUAUCUCCUGCCCUUUUGGACUUUUUAUUUUGAGAUAUGGCCUUACUGAGUUAAGUUCCUCAGUCUCCUUCGUUGCUGGAGGGCAAGAAUUUUGAUUGAUGAUAUUAGUAUAAAUAUUUUACCUAAUAAAGGAUGACACAAAGUUAAAUAAUCACUCUACUAAAAUAUAAUUUAGUAGUUUUCAGUUCCUGAGUUUUUCUAGAUCAUAUUGUCAGAAUCAUUUCAGCAAAAUCAUUUGAGCAAAUAUAUUUCUGUAAUUUCUGUGAUUGGAUGCACUUAACAGUUAAUUUUGGGAACCAGUGUCAUAAUUUGUAACUAAUUUAAACAUGUACUUUUCUCUACCACUUUUGAACAUUCUUUAAGAAAAACAACAAUAUAAGUUAUGUUUGAUGUCACUUAAAAUUUGUCCUUGGGUAUAUAAAACUUGGGAGAUUUUUAAGUAUUAUUUAACUUAUGUGACAUGUUGAAAGUGUUGUUUUCCCCCUUAUGCCUACUUUUCAACUAAAUUGUUUUAUAAUCUAAUAAAAUAAAUUUUAGAGGAUAUAGCUCAUUCUGAGUUGAUCUUUAGAAACUUUUCUUUUAUAAAGCACAGGUAUAAAAGUAAUGGAGGGGAAAAAAUGCAUGUACAGAGUAGAGCAAUAGAAAUGAAUGCAGAAUUUUAAGGAAAUGUUUUCUUUUUAACUUGAUGUUUUCCACACAUUUCUCUACCCAUAUAAAAUAAUAUAAUUGUUAUAAUUUAUCAUUUGCUGUUCUAGAUUGUUUUUAUAUACCUAUUGCUGUGUACAUGCAAAAAUUUUAAAAAUGUUUAUGGGUCCAUAGUAUGUACAUUACCCUGUAGUUAUUUAUAGUUAUUUACUUUGGAAUAUUUCAGUAUCUUUUUAUGGCAGUUCAGUUUACUCUACCACAUUUAUAUCUAGACAUAAAAAAGUUUUCAGAAUAUUCCUUUUUUCAUACAAACUUCUGUGGUUGAAUGCAUUUAACAGAUAAUUUUGAGAUAUACAAAAUUAACUACACUGGUAAUAUUAAUUUAAAAAUUGUUUCAAAGCAAAACAUGGUAUCUCCCUAUUGUUUCUGUUUGCAUUUAUGUAAUUACUAAUGAGGUUAAUAUCUUAUUUUUGUUGUUCCUUUCCUGUGUCUUCAUAGUACUUGCAUUAUUAUGAUUUACAAAAUACAUGUUUUGCAAAAUCAUUAAAAGUACCCUUGUUAUCAUAAUUAAAAAUUGAUGUUAUUCUAAUAAAUGUUAUAAUUAUUAAAAUGCCACCUAAAAUUAUUUUUAUAGUUUUAGCUAAUAUUUAUUGAAUAUGUGCUCUUUUUAAGUGUUAUUGCUGUAUUCUUAAAACAACACUAAUAAGUGGGUAUUGUUGUUAUUAUUUAUAGAAGAGGACACUGAGGCACAGAAAGAUUAAGUGACUUACUUGCUCUUAUGUGAGAGUCAAAUCAGGAUUUGAGCCAGGCAGUGAGAUUCAGACCAUGCUGUUAAUCUCGAUCCUUUACUGCUGUUGCCUGUGGCUUAUAUACCACACUUUCGAAAAUACUGCUAUUACGCAAGAAUAGGAAAUUGGGAGUGAAAAUCUUGGAUUUUUUUUUUUUUUAUUAGUUGUAUGAGUCUAUCUCUAGAAACAUUCUUUGAAUCUGUUUCCUAUGUGUCAAAUGUGAUUGAUGGUGCUGUUAUAUAGGUCUUUUUAUUUUCUUCUGAUCUUAGAAGUAUUGUGAAAAUUACAGAUUUGAAAUAUUGUACAGAUGUUUUUUUCUAUGUUAUUUAGUUGGAAAUCACCCCUUCCAAAGUAGUCUUUGCCAUCACAUUCAUUGAUGUACAGAAAUUUUUUCUCUUGGUCUGUAUUAAAAUUUGAGGUAAAAAGAGAAAUAGUUUUAAGGGUCUGUAUAUAAUAUUUGUGCAAUCAGCUUUGCUGGUAAACAAGAGUCUCUUUUAAUGCACUAACAAUCCUUGGCUAUUUACUAUUUCUCCUGAAAUAAAAGUAGACUAUGGUCAUACUUUAGAUAUAAGGUAAACAAAGAUGGGCAUCUUACUUGGAAGGAAGAGUGUAUGACAUCUUGAGGAAUUUUGCUGUAUGAAGAAACAGAUUCCUUUAGAAAUUCACUUUUCUUAACAUUUUAAAUCAUAGGUUGCAUAUAAUGGUGAUCCUGAAGGUGCCCUUAUCCAAUUUGCAACAUACGAAGAAGCAAAGAAAGCAAUAUCGAGUACAGAAGCAGUUUUAAAUAAUCGCUUUAUUAAGGUUUAUUGGCACAGAGAAGGAAGCACCCAGCAGUUACAAACUACUUCUCCAAAGGUAACGAGAGAGAUUUGUGUGAAAUUGAAUGCUUUUUCCCAAGAGUUCUUAGCAUAUUGUCUAAGAACAGAGGUAUAUAUAUGAAUCGGGCGGGACUUGAGUUGAGAUCCUGACUUUACUACUGUUAACUAUAUAUACUAAAGAAAGUUACUUAAUCACUCUAGCCUGUUCUCUCAUUUAAUUGUGAAGGUAAUUCCUAGUUUAGAGAACGAGAUGGAACAGUCCUGGCAGAUAGGCGGCACUAAGUAAAUUGUAGCUAUAUAUGUAUUCCAUAAAUUUUUUUUCUGUAGUUUAUAAGUCAUUUCAUGGAAAAAAAAUGUGCAUGCAUAAAGAAAAUUGAAAGGCAUUUGAGUUUUGAUUAUAAGCUACAUUUUUAAAACUUAUUAUGCACGGAUAAUCUAGUACAGUUUUAUAACAAAGUUUUACUUUCCAAGCUCCUGAAUUAAUCAGCUUGUUUAAAAUUUUUUUUCUCCUUCUGAGGUAAUGCCACCUUUAGUCCAGCAGCCCAUUUUGCCUGUUGUGAAGCAGUCAGUUAAAGAGCGACUGGGCCCGGUACCUUCAACUACUGUUGAACCAGCAGAAGCCCAGAGUGCUAGUUCAGACCUUCCUCAGGUAAAUGGAAGGUCUUAUCUAUCAAAUAUAAAUCUAUUAUUUAUUAAUAAAUUAUCUAUUAUAAUAUUAGAUUAACUAGUAAAUUAGUUUCCCUCGGUGACUUGCAUUAUAGUUACUAUAUAUGUUUUACACAGAAAUGUGAUCUUUACAGAUUAGAAUCCCACCUAUAAGUUUUUACCAUAACAUUUUCACUGUCUUUAUUUUUCUAUUUGGUAUUUGUAUCUUAAAUUCUCCUCUUUAUUUAUCACUUGUUGAUUAGAAAGAUUUCUUUUUCACUUUGUGAAGGAUAUAUUUCUGCAAAACUGCCUGAAGAGUGAAAUUUAGUACACUUAAUCUUAUUUUUUCCAUCAUCUUUUUACUUAAUUAGAAUCCUGUUCCAGAGAUAAUUGUACUGAACUGAAAACUUUUGGGAAGGGAAGGCUUUUAAUACCUCAGGUUAAGUACGCUUGAUAUACUGUUUGACAUACUAAAGCAGGUCACUCAAAACUUUGCAUCACUUAAUCCUGACUUUGGGAUGCUCUUCUCCGUAUAUCAUUUCCUUGCCACUUCCUUAAGUGGAAUUUUCUUGUUUCUGUAUUCUCAGUCUGUGAAACUUGGCUUUCCUUUUUCUCCAUGUUUCAGGAUUUGCUAUAUAAAUAGAGUUAGGAUGUGGUAUCCUACUUAGCUAAUAGAUGACAUCUUUUAGCUAAGUAUGGGACACACAUUUUUAAGCUUUAGAAGCAGGCAUGUUUUCAUUAUCCAAAUCUAAUUUAAAAUGUGCUUUCUACUUGUUAACAUAGGGAACCCUAUCAGUGAAAGGGACUUCAGUAACCACCUGGUUCAGACCUCAUUAUUUUACAUCAUAAUUUUUCAUGAUUAAUAUUGUAUACUGUUUACUUUUGUUUUUCUACACAUAUUUCCCCCCCCCCCUUAAAUAGGCCUCAGUUUCUAUGAUUAGUAUCUGUAUACUCAUAGACUCAGUAUGUAUUAGAACCAGAAUGUUCAAGAUCCCAACAGACUUAUAUAUGUUUGGGGAAACACUGAAUAUGUCCAUUUUAAUUUUUUUAGAAUGUAACUAAGUUAUCUGUGAAGGACAGGUUGGGUUUUGUAUCAAAGCCAUCUGUUUCAGCAACUGAAAAGGUAAGAAGAAUAGCAUGAUGUGUUUGUCUUGGCUUUGUAAAUGUUUUCAGGUGGCAUCUUAAUUUUUAAUUUUUUCAUAGUUCCAAACUGCUUCUUAAUAGUAUCUGUAUCUUUUAUUCCUACCUUUUUGCUUUCCAUUUGCUGAAAAUGAAAAAUAUUAGUCUACCUUUUUUUACUUUUUGCAUCAGCAUUUUAAUACUUGCCUCUCUAUUUCCAUCUGCUCCAUUGUUUUUGUUAGUUUUUUCUUUAUAUUUAUUUUCUUUAGAGACACGAUACAUUUUAGUUAAACUCUGGCAGCCUUAUAGUAAGAGCCAUGAACUAGGAAUUUUACCUGAGUUUGAACCCUGGCUCUUUACUUACUAACUGCAUGAUGUUGGGCAGUGCUCUUAACCUUUCUCAAUCUUUUUACUCAUUGGUAAAAUGGUGAUGGUAAUAUUCAUCUUGCUCACCGGGUUUUCUGAGGAUUAAAUAAAAUCAUUUAUUUUAAAACUAUUUUGUAAACAGGAAGGGAUGAGGGAUGGCAUAAUUGUAAUUUUUUAAAAGUUUAUUACGAACAGCUAUUGAUAUAGCCUUGCAAUACAUUAGUUCUUUUUUUUUUUGAAUGAGGAGUUAAAUGCAGAUUAUGUUAAGACCAUUUAUGGAUCUGUCUGCUGUAGAUAUAUAUUUUUUUCUGUUUAGGUGUGAGUGAAUGCCUUGAUCUUUAUUUUAUUUGAGGUAUGUGAAAUCUCAUAAUAUUAGAAUUGAAUAGUCCUAAGUCCCCAGUAGACCAAGGCACAAUGGUUGUAUAGUUUGAUCUAGUUGCUGAGCCAGACUAGAAUUUGUGUCUCCUAUUUCUAGUCCAUGGCUCUUUCCAUUCUGAAGAUUACAAAGGAAAUUCACAUCGAAGGUAAAUAAAAACAUCCAGUAAGGUAAACAAAACAUCCAGUGAGAUAGCUAACCUGCUGUCAUCACUUAUUCUUAAGUAUACUAUUUCCCUCAUUUACUUUGUUAAACUUAAAUCUGAAUAUCAUUCUAUACAUCAGACCUUCCUCUUGGGCAUCUCACUGUUAUUUCAGGUAUAACAUGCCUAAAAUGAACUAUUUCCCACAUAAAUUAACUUCUCCUACUCCCUACUUAGGUGAUACUUUCAUUUUCUAAACUGUGUAGUCUGAACUCCUCAAAACUCAUGUAAUCGUAUUUGUAGUUCAUUUCUUUUUCUCUUCUCUGCAGAGUCCCUGACCUCUAAUGGUAGUGUCUGAGCUGGCAUCUUGAAAUUUCCCUUCUUUAUUUACAUGUGUCACCAUUCUGUUGUCAGACUUAAUGUUAAUUCAUUAUAGAAACUUUGAAUUUCUCAGCAAAAUUACUUUACUUGAUUUACAGCUCAUCCAUAUUUCAGUUAUUGUGGUUCGGUUUUGCUCUAGGGUUUCCUUUCUACACUGGGGAAUACUUUUCUACUUACCUUGCCCUUUUCUGCCUCCCUGCUCCCCUGUCCCCUUUUUGGUGGUAAUUUUUCUGGAUUACAUUUCCCCCUUUCUAACUUAAGUUCUAUUUGUUCUUUAGAGAUUAAAAAUCUCUUCUAACAUUUUCCAUGAAACCACCAUGUGGUGUAUCUCCUCUCCAUUUUUGUGUAUUUUAGUCUAUUCUAUUAAUGUUUACUUUGAUUAUAUUUAUCCUUCUUGAUAAUAAGUAUAUUAGGAAUUGAAAAGAACACACUGUAAGAUCUGCUAUACUUGUUUAUUGAUGAGCAAUUCUGGAGAUAUUUAAAUGCCCAGUUGUAUUCAGGAUCUGUUUAUAUCAAGAUUUAGACUCUGGAAUUGAAGUUUAUACUAAGCUUUCACAAAAUUUUAGCAGUGUGCUUUGAUGUGGUUUUCUUUAUUUUUUAAGGUCUUUCAUUUAGCAGUAGAAUAAAAUUUGGGUUUGAGAGUAUAUAUUAAUAUAUAUUAUACUAAUAUAGUAACCACUAAUUGAAUUUGUAAAAAAAAAAAAACAAAAAAACAACACUAAUGAGAAUAGGCUAUUUGUGGAAAAAAUUAUUAAUAGCAAAAAUCUUAAGGAAAACAGUUACUUAAAAGAAUGUAACAUAUAUAGUCAUCUUCAGUGAAUGUAUUUGCAGAAUAAUAUUUUUGUAUUCUUGGUUGUUUCUGUUCUACCCAAUAGAGGGUUUUGGUUCAGAAUCCUUAGAGGGCAAAGAUCCAGAGAAUCUUAGGAAGAUGAGAAGAAUGUUUCCCAUCAUCGAAUAUUAUUUAAAAGGUUUUAAUUUCUUUUUCCUAAAUUGAAAUCAGGAGAAAGUUCAAAGCUAGUAUUUGUACAAUAUCCUCUGUCAUUGUUAAAGUGAAUGAAUAUAUAAAUGAAACUUUUACAACCUUCUUGUAAAUGAUAACCAUUAAUCCUUUAGUAAUUGUUAUUUAUUCUAAGAUUACAUUUUUGUGAGAAGGCUGGGAGAGAGGAAACUUAAACCUAAUUGAUAAAGAUAUUGCAAUCGGUAUUAAGUAUUAUUUGAGUAGAUUUGAUCAUUGAAGUGAUGUUUGAGUGUUUCUGCUUAGUCUACAGAGACUUAUGAAGAAUAAAGGUUGGUGGGUGUUUACCAUCCUUGUUAGUUUUUUUUUUUUAAACUUAAAGUGUUCAAAUUAAAGUUUUAGAUAUCAAAUUUAUGAUACCAAGUUUAGUAGUAUAUUUUUUAGUCAAAAAAUAAGUCUUGAUCCCUUUGUAUUGUGAUACAUUAACAUUAGUAUCAAGGAAAAUUGUCUAGUAUAAUUGAAAGAACAUUACAAGAGUUCAGCUGUUGAUUUAGUAACUGGCAUUAUAUGUGAUGGUGAAAAAGUUUUAUUCUGUAUGCCUAACUAUAAAAUUCAGUUGUUUUCAUGACCCUUCGAUUCAUUCAUUCAUUCAUUCAUUCAUUCAUUCAUUCAUUCAUUUUUUGUGCUGGGAAUUGAACCCAGGUGUGCCUAACCAUGGAGCCAAAUCCCCAUCCGUUUUUAAAUGUUUUUUUUUAGAGAAAGGGUCUUGCUGAGUUGCUAAGUGCCUUGCUAAAUUGCUGAGGCUGUCUUUGAACUUGAGAUCCUCCUGCCUCAGCCUCCUGAGCCUCUGGGAUUACAGGUGUGCGCCACUGUGCCUGGUGACCCUUUGAUUUUUAAAUUUGAUUAUUUUUAAUAUAGUUUUCCUACUUUAAGUGAAAAGAUUAGGGAGAUUUAUGUUGUUUUGUUGGGUUUUUUCCUUUCAUAACUGUUACUGGCCAUUUUUAAUUUUAACUUUUUAGUGCAUCAUCCUUUUUAGGAUAAUUACCUGGAUUAUUUUUUCUUACAGGAAAAUAUGAUUUAUUUGGAAAUAUUUGCUGAACUUUCUGGGAAAUAAGCUAUUGUAGCAAAAAUCAACUAUUGACUAUAUACAUUUUUUUCUUUGAUAUUUAUUAAAGUACUUCCUUGUAAAAUUGUUAAGCCUUUUGCUUCUUUUAAUCCUUUUGAUAUAUGGGAUAUAAAAUAGUUGAACUCAAAAAGGGUGGUGAUUUACCUUGGAGUUGGGAGUUGGGGAGAUGUUGGUCAAAGGAUAUAAAAUGUCAGAUAGGAUGAGUAAGUUCAAAAGAUAAGUAUAAGAGAGAUUGUAGUUAACUGUAUUAUAUUAAAAUUGCUGAGAAUUAGAUUUUAAGUGUUCUUACAGCAAAAUAUGUAAGGCAAUGCAGUUAGCUCAAUUGAGCCACUUUACAAGAUACAUAUUUUUAAAAAUGUACACAAUAUAUGUAUUCAGUGUUUGUCAAUUAAAAAUAACUUUAAAAAUAUUAAAGAAGAGUAUCUGAGGAAAGCAUCUGGGAACAUGACAUCCAGGAAGCAGAGGGAGCUCCACUCUCCAAGGACAAAAUAUAUACUCCAAAGGACACCUCCAGUGAUCCAGCCUACUUGCUUGCAGUUACCACCCAGUUAAUAAUUAUUGGGAUUAACACACUGAUUGAGUUAAGGGUCUCGUAACCCAAUUAUUUCACUUCUAUAUGUCUCACACAUGAGCUUUUAGGGCAGACUUAAUACUUUAUAUCUAAACCAUAACAGUGUGGUUGUUUGGAAAGGCCAUUGUUUAUGAUUUUAUCUUUUGAAAAUAUAGAUAUCUUACUAUCUAAACUCUAGAUUCAAAUAGAUUCAGUUAGGGAACAGUAUUUAUAAUCAUAAUUCAUUAUUUCUAUGCCACAUUUUUUACCUUUGAAUACCUCUGCUAUUGGGUUGCACUUUACAGGGUUUUUUUAAAUUAGUGAUAUAUGACAGUAGAAAGCACUUUACCUCAUAUAUCUUAGAGUGCUUGAGUUUUGUGCUCAUUGAAAUACAUUUUCAGAUAUCAUAUUUUUAGAGAAGAAAGUUACUGGAUGAAACAAAGCAAUUAGGACUAAGAAGAUUCCUUUAUUAGUAGUCUUCUGGUUCUUGUCAGAUACUUUUAUUCACUUUAAAGCAACACUCUUUACUCUGAUAUCAUAUGUUAAGGACACUUUGAAAAGAAGUAUUUCCUGUUCGCUGAAGUUAAAGAAAUGCUAGAUAAAAUUUAUUACAUGGAUUUCCUUGCUUUGAGGUUUCUCACUGGUUUUGGCAUGAGGUGAACAUUUGACUCUGGUAAAUGAGGUUAUGAUAUUCAGUGUUUCCAAUUUACUUAGAGUAUAGAAAUCUUUGCUCACAACUUUUCAACUUGUUAUGUAUUCUUCAUAAAGAAAGAAAGAUAUACUUGAUUAGACUCUGUUUUCAGCAUAUUAUCUUAUGUUUCUCCCCUUACCAAGUUAUUGUGUCUCCUUUGUAUAAUCAGGGAGUUUGGCAUUGUUUGGUGUGGUAAGAUAGCAGGGAAGAAAUUUUUCUUCAAAGUUAUAGAGAAUGGUCAUCAAAGUUAGACUACAAACUAAAGAGGUUAACUCUUGUUUUAUAUUCUUUUGUAACAUCUGAGUAUUAGUUUUAAUGAUUGAAGAAAAUUACCGAUCAGAUUUUGGUAUAUCAAACAUUAAGAACUUUAAUUGACAAAAAUUAUGCUAUAUAGAGUUAGGGUAAUUAUAUUUCAUUUUUAUUUGAGAGGCUCAUUAGACUUUCUUAUACACUUAGAAUAGUGAUGAGUUUCUAAUCUUUAUGAUAAAAGAUUAGAAAAUGGUCUCCAGUUUGCUGCUACUCCUCUGAUAUACCCACAUGGUAAUGUUUUGGUAGGUAAAAAGUAGCAUGAUUUUUCUCAGUGAUACUCUUCCGUUUGAGUAUAUGGCUUAAUCUUUUUUAGGUCAUGAAUUCCUUUAAGACUUUAAAAUAAGCAAUAUUUUUUCCUCUGGAAAAUUACAGUGUUCACACAGUUGGUUUUAUGUUUAUUUUUUGUAGCAGUUGUAGAUCUACCUGAGGAGAUCCCUAGGCUCUUUCCUUAGAACCACCCCAGGGAACUUUUAACUGUUUCGCUUUUGAAAGAAAGAAAAAUGUAGCCUAAACACUCUUAUUAUUUUGAAUUAACCCUGUUGUGGAAAAGGUUGUGCUCUUUGACCUAUGUCAGUUUAGUUGGGUGCAAAAAUGUUUUGAGUAUUUACCAUGUGCCCUGGCACUGUUGUGAUAAUGUCUGUAUCUAGAAGAUAUAGCAAUAUACCAAGAAAGAAAAUUCCUCUUCAAGGAGAAAAUUUUGAGAUUUGUAAAGACUUUAGAUAACUAUCAAAUUGAACCUUUUCAUUUUAUAAAUGAGUGCACUAAGGCCCAAAAAGGUGUCUCAUCUUAGCCAUGGUCGGCCUCACCAUUCAUGAGUUGAUGAGUAAGACUUAGGUACUACAGGGACAAAGAGGAGAAAGACAUGAUAUUUGUUUCAAGGCCUUUACAGUAUAGACUAGAAGAAAGACACAUCAACAUAUUAUCAAGUCAUUUUUACUGAGUCCAGUGCUAGGUAAAAGUAGCUUGUAGUAUUUUUACCUGAUAGCUGGAGGUAUAAAAUUUCAUAUAAAGAGAAAUGAUCAGGACUUUUUGAAAGUCUUGAUUGUGUUAUGCUGAACCUAAAUUGUGUUUAAAGAGAAUAAGUUUAAGCAGAGAGAAUAUUGCUAGCAAACAAAUGGAGAAUGAAUACAUUUAUUUCAGAGCUGCAAAUUGCAAAUGAUUGUGUUAAAUUGUUGCCGAACAACAUAAGGUUUUUUUCCUGUGCCAUGCUUUUGUGUUAUUUUUGCUUUAGUCACUAUAGAUAGUAGUUAAUGUAUUCUGCAAUUAGUAUUUUCUGAGCAAUAUGGUAAUGGCAGUGAUUGUUCUUGAUUUGAUAUUUUUGUAUGUUUGUCUUUGCUCUCCCCACUCCCUAGAAGUAUUUGAUAAUUUGAAAAUAUUUUUAUUUAGGGCUUAUUCUUCAUUCAUACUCUUCCUUUCAGAUCAUCAAAUGUGAUUUAGUUAUUAAAAGUAUAUAAUGCAUCUAGUUUAAUUUUGCUAAAUUUUAUUAGAAAUUAAAGCUGAGUUUCAUAGAGGGUAGAACCUAGGAAAUUAUUAAAGAUUUAUACUUUUUUUUUUAAGAAAUUGAAUUUGUAUUGGUAGGUAUUGUCUACAUCUACUGGCCUAACAAAAACAGUGUAUAAUCCAGCUGCUUUGAAGGCUGCACAAAAAGCCUUACUUGUUUCCACCCCUGCAGUUGAUAAUAAUGAAGCACAGAAAAAAAAACAGGUAAGUACAUCUAGUAUAGUGAACAAAAUUUGCAUAUAAGAAAAGUGUCACAAAAUAAUAUUAAAAGAUGUAUGUUGGCUGUGGCUGAACUUCUGUGUUCUAUAGUGUAGCAGUGAAUAUUAAAUUGUCUCUUAAUAAAAGGUUCCUGAUUGAUCUUUUUUUUAAAUAUUAAUUUAUUUUUUUUUAGUCAUAGUUGGACACAAUACCUUUAUUCCAUUCAUUUAUUUAUAUUUGGUGCUGAGGAUCGAACCCAGGGCCCUGCGCAUGCUAGGCGAGCACUCUACCGCUAAGCUACAAUCUUUGAAAUCUGCACGUAGAAGUUUUACAUAGCCAAAUUUUGCAUAUAAUUUUUGUUGCCAAUCUUUUACAAUUAUAAACACUUUUCUCCUCUUGAAUUAUUUUAUCACAUUAAUAAUAUUCUAAUGAUAUCUUUGAUACCUGACUCUAGGAGGCACUGAAACUGCAGCAGGACGUAAGGAAAAGGAAACAAGAAAUUUUAGAAAAGCACAUUGAAACACAGAAGGUAAAAUGCUAAAGUUAGAUUUGGUAAAAUGUAUUUACAAAUGUUAUGAUUUUUUGUGAAUUUUAUCUUAAUACUAUUUAACUAGUCCCGAGAAACAGAUUAUAAUUGUUAAUGAUAAAAGUGAAAUAGCUGUAAUGAUUUUGUCCCAUCAGUAUUAUUAAUAUUUUGUGUUGAGGAUGAAGAAUAGACAUUGAAAGAUGGGUGUGGGUUAAACAGAACUAUGGUUAUCAGCAUGAAGUUAAAACAGUAUAGUAUUCAUUCAUCUGUGUUACUGCACAGUAGGUUGAUCAAAAGUUAAUGAAAUGAAAGCUUUAUUUCAGUGUUGAUUUGUACCUCUUUUUACUGGCUUGGGAUCUCUUAGUCCUGUGUUGUGUUGUGCAGUAGCGACAUCUAGCAAUUGAGUGUAAUCUAAGUGUAGAAUACACACCAAAUUUCAAAGAUGGAGAAGAAAAAAAUUUGAUGAUGUCUUUAAAUUUUUACCGAAAUUUACCAUUUUGGAUGUAUUAGAUUAAAUGUUAUUGAAUUCAUUUUGCUCAUUUUUGGGGGCAGUUUUUCUCUGAUUUGUAACAUUUAUUUAGUGUCAGUUCUUGAUUAUGUGUAGGUUGCUAUAGGACAUCUGAAAAUAUAGAAACCACAUUUUAAUUAGAAGUGUAUGUCUUUACUAAUUUAAGUUUGGGUAUACCUUAUAAAGAGAAAUCACAGUGCUUUACAUUAAAAACUAAAUCCGGGCUGGAGAUGUGGCUCAAGCGGUAGCGCGAUUGCCUGGCAUGCGUGCGGCCCGGGUUCGAUCCUCAGCACCACAUGCAAAACAAAGAUGUUGUGUCUGCCAAGAACUAAGAAAUAAAUAUUAAAAUUAAAAAAAAAAAACAAAACUAAAUCCAUCUUAACUCAUAGAACUUGCAAUACUAUGUGGUUUCUUUCACCCCAUGUUAUUUUGCUUAUCUUCUUAUUUCCUUUCCAUGUUAAGGAUAUCAUUCUCAGGGUAACUGAUUAUUGUUCCCUGUGGCAAAGAAAAGUAAUUGUACAUUGUACCUAGUUUUUCAUUGUAUGAAAGGGGCCAUAAAAUACAUUUUCUGCCCACCCCCCAGCUCACUGACUAUAUUUAGAGUGAGAAUAUUUGAAGAAGCAUAAUAACAAAUGAAUGAGAAAAUGAAAUUUAUACUAUUUCAAGUUGAAAACUUUUCCGGGAUUUGAAUUAAAUUUUUUUUUGGUUGUAUACUUUGAACAUGUUUUAAGAGAGCCAAACAGUAAUAAAUUUCUUUACAAGGUAAACCAGUAGUAAGACUUGAAUGGAGAUACAGUUAGCAUCACCAAAUCAUUCUUUAGAUACUUGCUAGUUGUUAGCUUAGUCAUGAAUACUAAAUUAAGAAUAGUAGUAUUUAUUUUUAUAUUUACUUUGCUGUAUUUGUUUACAAAUAGUAGUAGGGGCAAAUAUUCUAAGAUUUUUCUGUUUAAAAAUUUGGCAGAUGUUGAUUUCAAAGUUAGAGAAAAAUAAAGCAAUGAAGUCUGAAGAUAAAGCAGAAAUAAUGAAGACUUUAGAGGUUUUGACAAAAAAUAUUACCAAGUUGAAAGAUGAGGUGAAAGCUACUUCUCCUGGACGUUGUCUUCCAAAAAGUAUAAAAACCAAGACUCAGGUAUUUAAUUUGUAUGCACUAUUCAUAUUACUGUUUAUUAAAAAACAUUAAACAUAUCAAGAUUCUGUUUUAUUUUUAGGUACUGUCCAUUGUUCAGAAUCUAUCUGAUCAUUAUAUGUAACAUUCUCUCCCACCCCACCAAUAAUAAGUAAAUAAAUACAAAUAAGUAAACUCAACUGAUCUUUUGAAUCCUUUGGCAUUUUAGUUGAAAAGUCAGUAAUUAGAAAAUAAUUAUGGAAAAGUUAGCUUGAGGACAAAAUAAUAUAUUUACUUGAUUGAUUGACUAAGGAGUUUGAGUUUUAUAUUAUAAGUAGUUGGUGAUAUAAAAGGUUAAUGACAGAGAAGUAACAUUCUAUCAGUACCAUAUAGAAUGGAUUGAUUGGAAAGGGGAAAAUUCAGUGAGCAAGAUUUGAUUAAAGUAUUUAUAUUUGGUAUGUGUGUAGUAUAUAUAUGUCUACAAUCAUCAUACUGGUAUUUCUAAUCCAACACCACAUGCUUCCCUUUUUCAUUUUCUGUAUUUUAUCCCCUAUUUCUAUAGUGAUGACUUGGUUUUAUUAUACUAAUUUAUUGUUCAUUGACAAUUCUGAAUCUGUAAGACAUUCAGAACAGUUCCAAAAUUGUUACAACAAUAAUACUUCCAACAACUAACUUAAUUAAUAUAAAAUUUUGAAUAUGUUUGCUUUCUUUGCAAAAUCUAUGUAUUCUACUCAGGGUAGCAUUAGAAGUAUGGUCUAGUUUACUUUUCUUCCUUGUAUAUAUUGUGUUGUGAAUUUGACAGGUUUAUUUCUGAUUUUAUUUAGUUUGGAUCCCCUCUCCCUGGCCCUAUUCUUGUUGAUUUAGUAUUAUUUUUUAACAAGUAAACGAGUGACAUUGUUCAGAAGCCAAACUGCAUAGAAAGGUACACAUAGAAGACCCAUUCCUAGCAGUAUCAUUCAUUUCUGGUUUAUUCUUCUAACACAUAAAAUACACACACACCCCUACCCCUACAUGUAUGUGUUUGUGUCUAAAACACCCAAACGUGUGUGUAUGUGUAUUCUUACCUACAUAAAAGCAUACUAUAUAUUGUUUAUUAGCACCUUGACUUUUUUUUUUGUUUUUUUUUUUUUUUUCACAGUUACUUUCUGAAAAUACUACAUAUCAAUCCAUAGAAAUCUCACUCUGGCUGUAGUACAGAAAGUUAAUUGUAGGGAAAUGUGUAGAAUUAGCAACAAGUGAGGAAACGCUUGCAGUAUUUUUAACCAGAGGUGGUCCAUGGCUUGGACUGGAGUAUUAGUAAUAGAGAUAGGAAAGAAAUGUAUGGAUUAAAUGGAAACUAUGUAGAAGUUCACUUUUUUUUUUAAAGUUUAGUAUACAUGCAGGAUAUUAGUUAUUAUUAACUAAAAUAUUUAUUUUUUUUUAGAUGCAGAAAGAAUUACUUGACACAGAAUUGGAUUUAUAUAAGAAGAUGCAAGCUGGGGAAGAAGUCACUGAACUUAGGAGAAAGUAUACAGAAUUACAGCUGGAAGUAUGUUUUAUCACAGCUACACAGUGUACUUAAAAUAAGCAGAUGUAGUUGUAGUGGUUAACUGAAAAUAAUAUGUCCUUCAUCUAGUCAACAAUUAUUGACUGCCAUAUGUGUUGGUAUAUUAAAAUGGAGAGGAAAGAGGACAACAGGUUUUUUCAAAACUAUUAUAGAAAAAUGUUAUUUAAUGAGGUGAGGCAUUGGUUCUACCUAUAUGCUCAGAUUUCUUCAUUUCUAGUGAAUUUUAUUUCUUUUUGGCCUUUCUUUUUCCCUAGGACUAAGAACUAUUAAAGGCUUUUCAGACAUUCUUGUGGAGAUAUUCUUUUAUAUAUAGGCAUAUUAACUUGCUCUAAAGGUCCUACUUCUAGUGGUAGAACUGUACUGAAAAACAUGCUUGCUUAAGUUUUGCCUAUAGAUGGUGCUGUGGAUGUUUUAAAAGAGAAAAUAAACCACUUUCUUGUAAUAAAGUUACAUAGGGUUAUUUUUUGGAGUGGGGGCUACUGGGGAUUAAACCCAGGGCCUUGCACAUGCUGGGCAAGCACUCUACCACUGAGCUACAUCCUCAGCCCAAUUAUAUGGUUUGUUUUGAAAAACCCCUAGCAAAAUUGAUCGUAAUUAUAUGACAUAAUAAGUUUUAAUAUUUUCCCCAGAAAUGUUUAAAAACUAGAAUUACAUUCUAAUGUAUGGAAAGAGUCAUUAAUAUAUUAUUUACAGGUUUAUUUUCAUCAUUUGACAGUUUAAAUUUUUCUUGUUUUAGAUUAUUUUGAUUAAUCUGAGUAUAAUGCUGUUUUCAGUUUCUUGGCAAUGUCGUCACUUUUGUUUUGUUUUUGUAUUUGUUUCAGUGUAGUAGAAAUCUAUUGAGUUACUACUGUAUAGGUAUUAAAGACUUAACAGCAGCUACCAGAGUUGUCUUAAAGGCGUAUUUUGUCAAGAGUUAGAGGAAACUAUAGGAUUGUUUUAAACAUGCAGACAUUUGCAUUCUCUAGGGACUUGAUCAUGUCCUACCCAGGAUAAUUUUAAAUAAGUUUUAUGUUAAAAAUAUUAUAUGUUAUAGAAAUUGUGUUGUCCCCGUUCAUGCUAGUGUUGGUGGCAUGAAUAUAUUAACCUGACUAUAUGGUUUCUUAGAGGCUUUUAAUUUGUGAAUCUUGAAAUACAAUUAAAAAUUCAUGUUUACUCAAAUUUAUAUUUCAAGGAGCAUCUUGAGAUGUAUUCCUUGGAGCAUACUUUAGGAUAUUGCUGUAACAUCUAUCACCUCGCAUACUUUUUUUAGGAAAAUAGAACAUUUAAAAUCUGUUCUUAGAAGUAUAUAAUACAUUAUCAUCAAUUAUAGUCACUAUGCUGUGCAAGAUACUCAAAACAACUUCUUCUUGUCUAACUGAAACUUUGUACCCUUUGAUCAACAUCUCCCCAUUCUCCAUGCCAGUACAGGCUUUGGUUAACCAUGGUUCUGCUUUUAUGAGUUUGGGGGGUUUUUUUAGAUGCUAUAUAUGAAUGAAAUUAUACUAUAUUUGUCUUUCUAUGCAUGACUUAUAUCAUUUAACAUUAUUAUUUGGAUUUUAGAUGAUUAUUUUGGCUAAUGUAAAGAUUAACUGCCUUGAGAUGAAGAAACUAAAAUAUUUACACUAAUAGAAGUUUGACAGUUGUGCCUGCUUGUCAUUUCCAUUUGGAUGUCUAAUAUCCUCAUCAGUAAAUUCAGAAUUGUGCUUCUCUUGCUCCUAAACCCCAUUUAUACAGUUACCCAAAUUAGAAGUAUAGGAGUCUUUAUUGAUUCCUCCCUUUCCUUCAAUGUCCAUAUCCAUUUAAUUAUCCAUUUUAACUUCCAUAUUUAAAUGUUUAUUCUUCUCUGUCUUCCUUGCUGAUACUAUUAUAGUGACAUACUGAUUUCCCAGCUCAUUCUUUCUUCUACUGUAUUCCUAAAAAUCUAGCUAUAAAACUCCUUAACCUGAUCCCUAAUUCAGCUGAUCCUGAUCCCUGGAUGCAACUGCACUGAAUUUUAUCUGUUUGGAAAACAGUGUUCCUUUCAGCUUUGGUGCCUUUUCUUAUAUUGAAACUCUUGUGUCGCACUUGCAUUUUUUUCUUUGAUUCAUUGAACAAAUAUUAAGUACAAUCUGCCAGCUACUGUUGAAGGUGCUGAGGAUAAAGCAGGGAAUUAAAAAUCACCUUCAAGAAACUUCAUCAUAGGUGGUUGCUCACUGCAGAUCUUUAAAGUUCUGUUCAAAUAUUUAAAGUAUUUCAUCACUUUUUAAAGUCACUUUUCAUUAAUAUAACUAGAUAACUUAGUUGUUUGAUGUCUCUUUAUCCCUCUUAAGUUUUGAACUUGUUGAGGAUAAGGACUUGCGUAGUGCAAGUGGUUGGUAAAUAUUUCUGGAAUGAAGAAAUAAUACACUACUCAUACAGAGUGUUAUGGUAGAAUAUUAAUUAGUAUAAUACCUUGGCCCUAUAAUGAUGUUAGUAAUAAGUGAUCAAAAUUAUGAUUUUGAGAUAACUAUACCUAUCUGAUCCGUUAGUAAUUAACCCAUUGAGUCAACAGGUUAAGAAAUAGAAUGUUAUAUUGAAAAUGUAUUUAUUGUGUAUGUGGAUAUUAUGUGUCUGUGUAUUAACCUGACUUUUGAAGUAAUCUUCAACACUGUAUGCCAUUUAAGAAAUCUCAAAUUGCUGAUCUUUUUGUACCAUAUCGUGACAGUUUAGCAAGAAUUAAGAAAAAGAGGCACAUUUAGUAAUUUCAGAACCUUUAAUAUUAUUUUGUUAUCUAAAUUCACUUACUACCCUAAAAGUUUCAGUUUAAAACUCUAAUUUAAUUAUGUGAUCCUUUUAUAGGACAUUAUUUGAAUAUGAUGUCAAGUUACAUAAAAGUUUGGCUCAUCUGCCAGAGUAUAACACUUGGCUUAUGUUAAGACAGGUUGAGUGUUUCUAAUCUGAAACCCCAAAUGCUCCAAAAAGGAAAGUUUUGGAUUUGUGUUAGUCUAUGCAAAUAUUUCAAAAUUUGAUAAACUCUUGAAAUCUGAAACGUUUUCGAUCCCAGACAUUUUAGAUAAAACAUAUUCAAUGUGUUCCGACUGCAUUGUUUAACCUGAGCAUCUGACUUCUUGUAGGCUGCGAAACGAGGGAUUCUUUCAUCUGGUCGGGGUAGAGGAAUUCAUUCAAGAGGUCGAGGUGCCACUCAUGGCCGAGGCAGGGGUCGAGGUCGUGGACGUGGUGUGCCUGGUCAUGCUGUGGUGGAUCAUCGUCCUAGAGCAUUGGAGAUUUCAGCAUUUACAGAGAGUGAUAGAGAAGAUCUUCUUCCUCAUUUUGCGGUACUAUUUUACUACCCAAGAGAACAGUUACUGAUAAUCAUCAUUGUAGAUGAUCGAUAAAAUUAAAUAAAAAAUUAUGAAAAUGACAUGACUAAUUUAAACUAGUUGAUCUGAACAAGCAUUUGAUUAAAUCCAUAAUACUUUUGUUAAUUAUUUAUAAAAUGGGAACUAUAGUAUUUUUAAAUUAUCUUGAAGGAAUGUUAAAAUUCUUACAUUAGGAGGACUUCAGGUGGUAUGAAAUGAAUGAUUUAAACUUUGUUGUUUCAGACAAAGACAUCCUGUAGUUUGUUUUGUUUGUUUGUUUAUUCUUCAUGUUCUGCCGCACCAGGUCUUGUAAUUUAGUUUUGAUAUUUACUUACAAGGAAAAUUUAACAUGUUACAUGGGCCAUAGCAAAUUUUUUUCUGAAUAGAAUUUUCUUUAUUAAUAUUGUAUUCUUGAUCAAACUAAUAAGAAUUGAAGCAGGCAAAAUUUUGAUAUGAUCUUAAAUUUCCUUAGUUACUUAAAAGAGUUUUAUACAAUGGUAAUAGAUAAAUUAAAAGAAAGGAAAAGGAUAUUCUAGUCCCUGCUAAUCCUUUAUUUAACUUAAAACUUUCUGGAAUUCAUUAGUCUCAUGUGUAGAAUGGAGAUUUUACCCACCUUUGUGCUGCUUAAUCUUAAAUGUUGUGAUUCUUAGUGGUAUCCCAAUAAUUAUUUACUAAACAUCAGUUUUACUAAGCAUUAUAGGGUAACCAGUGCUUAUCCUCAAGGAUUUCAUAUGUAUUGAUUUAAUAUAAACCACUUAAAGUGUGAAUAUAAUAUAGAUUCAGGCAAUUUAUUAAACACUGUAAGUACUUUAGUUACUUAGCGAAGUAAGUAUCUUUGUCACUGGCAUAUGAUGGAAAAUAAUGUAACAUUAAAAGUUAAUCAGGGGGUUGGGGUUGUGGCUCAGUGGUAGAACACUUGACUAGCACAACAAGGCACUGGGUUCGAUCCUGAGCACCACAUAAAGAUAAAUUUUAAAAAAUAUUGAAAAAAAAUAAUCAGGUAGUAGAACUGAAGCUUAGAUAUUGAAGGAUAGGUCAACUUGCAUAUAGUUAUACUAUGAUUUUUUUUAAACCUUUUGGAAAUUUAGAUUUAAGUAUUGAUAGUCAUGUUCCUGCCUUGAAGCAACUAACAUAUUUUGUCGGGACAUAAAAGAAAUGGUGUAUGUUUAAGAAAUAACUGGGAUGAUUAAUAUUUAAGGAUGAGGAGUCUGGAAAGUCCUGUGCUUGAUGGAGUCAAAGGGAUAAGGAAAGGAAUCAGAGAACUAGAAAAGAAUUUGGAGAUAAUAUAACCCAAUUUUUCCUGGCUAUGUACAUCACUUUCAUACCUUCCACAAGGGAAAUGAGAUCCAGAUAACUUAAGUGUCUUGCAUAUAGUUAUAUAGCUAAUUAGGAAACUAGCAAUGAAUAUGCUAAAAUAAUCCAAACAAACAACUUCAGUUUAUUAUUAUGAUUGUGUUUUGCUGAGACUAAGAUGAUUUUGCUUUGAGAAAUAUUCAAAAUCCCUAAAUGGAAAUUUUUUCAUAUCCUUGGAGACUUGAAUUCUACUCAAAAGUUAGUGAUAUUUCACAUUACAAAUUACCAAUCUUACAUAGAAAUACAGGUCUAAAGUUGAACUUUUCCAUUAUAACUUGUGUAACUGAAACACAUGAGAUAUAUCAGAAGAAAAGAAAGCCAACAUUAAUCAAAGGACCAUUGGCUAUUGCACAUUUUGAUUUUGACUAACAGACUACUUUCUUUAAUUUAUCUGCUGAGACCAGUAAUAAUGGAGAUAAAAAUCAUUGCUAAAACUUAGAGCAUUUAUUUUAUAGCAUGUAUUAUUCCGUAUGCUUUAAAAAACAAUUCAUUAUAUUAGGAGUUAUUUGAAUCACCCUUUGUUAUGCUCAUUUUUGAGAUGAAGAAGAUGAAACAUGAAGAGAUGAAGUAACUUGUUCAGGUUUACACAGUAACUAGCAGAACUGGUUUCUGAGUAGCUCUACUGUCCAUUCUCUUAUGCUCUACAGAAUUUGUGUGUGUGUAUGUGUGCACGCGCACACACACGCGCGCACACGUGUAUGAUUAAUGAAAUUUAUAAUUAUAGUUUUAGUUAGGGGUGAGAACUUAAUAUAUAAGGGACAUAAAUUUUAUAUGAUAAAAGUUACUCCUAUAUAUGGUAAAAAAAAAUUCCACAAACCCAAAAUAGGCAGAAUAUAGUGUGCUUAACUUUUAAAUGUCUUGUAAGAGAGGAUAACAGAAUGUAUAGUAAGUGAAAACAUGGUUAGUUGGAGUGUUAAACUUUCUAAUCAAAAGACCAGGAUUCGCAUCUUAGUAUUUGACUUAAUUACUUUCAGAAGAUUGCUUAAAUUCUCUGAAUCUUUUUUACCCCCAUUUAUUGGGAUUGAUACAAAAAAUUCAUAGUAUUUUGAUUAUCCAGUAUGCUGUUUUAAGAACAAAUAUAGCAUGUUCUGGGCUUGGAGUAGUAAAUGUAAGAGGAAGGUCAGUUCGGGAACUCAGACUUUGACCAUUGUUACUUCAUUUAAAGAAUAAUAUCCCUCAAGUCUGUUCACAAAUUCUGGAAAGUAUGGAAUUGGAAGUGAGAUUGGAAGAUAGGGCUACCCUUUAUUUUAUAAUACCAAGUACUAAAAUAAAUUAUUCACCAUUCUUUUCUAUUAACCAGUAUGGAUUGUUAUGUAUUCUGGGUGAUAUAUAUGUUUUUAAUGUCAUUGGGAUUGUGGAUGCUCCAGAAUAUUUAUUUGGUGAAAAUACUUUUUUCUUUUUAAUUUAAAGCAAUAUGGUGAAAUUGAAGAUUGUCAGAUUGAUGACUCUUCACUUCAUGCAGUAAUUACAUUCAAGACAAGAGCAGAAGCAGAAGCAGUAAGUAUUAAAAGUAAUUUAUCAAAAAUUUAGAUUUAAAUGAUUAAUAAUUUUUAAGGUUUAAUAUAAUGAAUGUUUAAAUUUAAUGAAUAAAUAUGUUUGACAAUAGGUAGAAUAUUUGAAGUAGAACUCAUGCUAUAAGAAAUGUCCUAAAGCAGUUAGGCAAGUCUGCAUGUAGUGUUAUACAAUUAGAAGAUAUAUACAUACACGAACAUGCAUACAUAUAUGUAGAGAGAGUGAAAGAGUGUGUAAUAGUCACCAAGUUGAAUGUUAAGUUAUAUUUUUUAGACACAUGAAAUCUUUUAAAAUAUUUUUUAAGGAUACAGAUCCUACCCUACUUUCCAUUAUUAUUCUUUCUUAACUCUCCCAGAACAAAGUCUGCUUUGACAGAAUGAGUUGUAAGGGUUAAGAUAGAAGCCCAGAGAAUAUAAUCCUGAUGUCUUCCCUUUUUUUUUUUAUUUCAUUUUUAGUUAUAGAUGGACACAAUACCUUUAUUUGUCGAACCCAGUGCCUUGUGUGUGCUAGGCAAGUGCUCUAUCACUGAACCACAAGCCCAGUCCAUGUCUUCCCUUCAUACUUAUCUCUCAUCUGUUGCUUCCUAGUUUCUAGCAGGCUGAAUUCUAAAGUGCCUCUAGCUUAGCAUAUCCCCAAAUAGACUAGUACUUCUUUUUGCUCAAGAUAUGAUAUGUAGCUCUAGUUUUUAGAGUACUCUUAGUAUAGUUGUUAAUGUUGAGUGGUCUUUUCAGAGACUGACCAGAGGUUAUCUUCACCUGUGGGAGAUUCAUAAUAGCCUUUUUAGCCCUGUAUAUUCUUUAUGUGGAAGACAAUGUAACUAUUUUGUCUUUGGCAUUACUGAAAACACAAGAUAGUUUUCCAGACAGUUAACUGGAAGAUGCCUUUUAAAAGUUUUAGGUUGAUGGUGAUCUAAAUAAUCAGUUUGAAAAACCUUCUAACUUGUUUUAUUCUGUUUGUAUCCCCUGUCAGCACAAUGGAGCAUCAUUGAGGGUUAACCUGGUAGGAGUUACUCUCUGGGCAUUAUAGCAAGUGUUAAGAUUGUGAGUCUGCUAAGUCUUAGAAACGUAUUUACUGGAACCCUAGAAUAAUCUAGUUUCUGGUGGGGUGUGUAGGGGUGGUUAAGUUAGGGUAUUAUUUCAUAGAAUAGGAAUCCCUGAUCCUUGAGUUUUUAUCCUUUAAAAUCUAGGGAACUCUCAGGUAGGUUUUGUUUUUGGAUUUGUGGUAUUGCAGAUUGACCUGUCUGUCAUCUAUGCUAAGCACGCACUCUACCACUAAGUUAUACCUAACACUUAAAAAUCUGGUUUUGAGUCUUAUAUCAUGUAAAGACCUUUUGUCCAAGUAAAAAGUCAUUUAUUUAUAAUUGUGAGAGUUUAAAAUUUUCUUUCAAAUUUGUUUUGUUGAAAAAUGUAGAACUUUAAUCAAGUUUUCUCUGAAAGAUAUUGGUCUGUACAAGCCAUGUAAUAAGCUUCCCUUUCAAAGUCAGUUUUGGUGAUAAUUUUAAGUCCAUUGAUAGGUUGUUUGAGUAACAUUUCUUUAUGUUUUUCUUAAUUUCUAGGAAAUAGCGAUAUUAUAAAACCAUGAUAAUUAUUAUUGGACAAGAGGUUAAAAAUGAUAUUACCAAGUUUGUAGAUUUAGUAAGAACCUGUAUAAAAAUACCACAAUGAAUCCUGAUAGUCAAAAUAAUAAUGAUGAUGAUGAUGAUGAUGAUGAUGAUAAAGGGAGAUCAGUAAAGUAGAACAAAUAAUAAUAAUUUAAAAGGGAGAUCAGAGAAAGGGAAGGGGGUAAAGAAAGGGAAGGUAUUAUGGAAUGAAACAUGAAAAAGUUGUUAUGUAUGUGUGUGUGUAUGAAUAUGACAUAAUGAGUCCUAUUAUUAUGUAUAAUUAGAAUGCACAAAUAUAUACAUACUAAUCACUGAAUAUUUGCAUGGAUAAGAAAAAAACUAAAAACCUUUUAAAAUAAUUUCUGGAAGUUUUGCUGUUGGUAAGCCCUAUUGACAUACUCCUUUCUUGGAUAUCGCCUUUUCUACCUUAGGUGUUUAUUUUUUAUUUAUUUAUUUUUUUAAAUUUAAUUUAAUUUUUUUUUAUUAGCUACACAUGACAUUACAAUGAUCUUGGCAAUUCAUACAUUUGAAUUAUUGGGGUAUUUUUAUAUAUUUUUAUUUUCCAAACUGAAUAACAAUUUAAAAGCCAAGAAUUAAUAUAUAAGAAAGACUUAAGAACUAAAUUAUAUGAAAUUUUAAUAAGUAACAGAAUAAGUAAGUUUUAGUUACAUAUGUCUAGAGAGUGUUACCUGUUCAGUGUAAAUACCAUUUUAGUUGGAUUUUUUUAAUAGGCUGGAAGAAAUAACUCCCACUGCUAUGAUAAAUAUUUGGUAUUAAGUUAUAAAAGUUGUGAAACCAUAAACAUUUCUUAAGCUAAAAAGUUUCUUAAAAAUUCAUAACACUCUUUGAAAAGAAUAAAAAGGUUGAAGCUGAUCAUAUACAAGCAAAAUACAGAUGAGAAAAGUAAUUUUGAAAUUUCUUGAUAUUAGGGAACAAAAGUGGUUAGGAAUUUGAAAAUUAGUGCUUUUGAGGUAGGGAGUGCCAUUUUUUUUUUUUUUUUUUUGACAGGGAAGAAUGCUUAAAAAAUUAAAAAAGAUUGUUAUGUACUAUUGCUAUCAUAUAUGUAAGAAAUUCUAAUACCAAAAAUAUAAGCAGAUGUAAAUUCAAUAUGAAAGAUAGGCCUUUCCAAGAAAAGAAAAUUGUCAGCUUUUGCUAGUGUUUAUUUCUAACUGAUAUUCUUUUCUUAUUUUCUGGACCAUUGUUGUUGAUGAGCAAAUGAAUUUUUCUUUGUUUUUCAGUAAGCCAAUAGGUACAUAAUAGUUCUAGAUGAAAGUACAGGUAUAAUAUAAUUGAGUCAUUCAGGCAUAUCUGAAGAGAAAAAUUUUCCCCAGGAAAAAAAUUGAAGUAUUUUAAAGAAUAUAAGCAGAAUACUUUAAAUUUUAAGUUUAGGUAGUUAUUACGCUUCGAUUCUGGUUAGUAAGAAAGUGAUUACUAUUAUUUUUUAUUUUACUUUCUACUUAUCACUGUGCCAGUGUAUUCAAGAUGAGUAAGUACCCAAAUAGAAUUUAGAAAAAAGUAGACUCAUCACAUGACUGAUUAGAUAGAAUGUUAUUUUUCAUACUCUCAAUUUUACCAGUAUGUUUUUUAGGAUACUAGGUUCUUGUUUUCAAAAUGAGAUGGUGAAGGGAUGGUUAAGUUACUGUCUUAGAAGAAUCAGUCCCAAAGAUGAAGCCCAUGAUCCCAAACUUAGAAGUAUAGUUUUUCAUAUCAAAAAGAAAGAACCUUGUUCUACGCACACAUUUUGACACCCAUCCCUCAACUUGCAAUAGUUGUGAGAUUUUACUGAUUCAAAACCUGUAAGUUAGGAUCUGAUAUAUAGUAAAGUCUCUAUUAGCCAUUAUUGUAUUAUUGUGCUUUUUUUUUUUUUUUAAUAUGAGGAGUGAUUGGCAAAUCAGUGGAACAGGAUAAAGGCAAGAUGGAGUAAAUGUUAUCAAAACUCUUAUUCUGUAGAACUUCUAAAAUUAGAAGUACAGAAUUGGGUUUGUAGAGAAUACAGUAUCAAUAGUCAGAAGUUGAUGAAAUUCAUUAAGUAAAUGGUAAAUUUAUAGCAAGAACAAUGUUAGUAGAUAAGAAAUGAAAUUAUGUAGAGUAUUUUUCAUGUGUGCUUUUAUUGUCUUAACAAUUAUUAAUGGUAUAUGAAGGGCACUGUGCUUGCAGAAUUAAUUAACAUUAGGUUUGAAGCUUGGGAGAAAGUGGCUAUGUGCCUUGAGUUCCAGAGUUGAAGGAAUGGAAUUCAUCGUGGUCAUUUAAAGUAACUCCUGCCCCUAAGCACCUAUACCUUAGAACAAUUUUUGCCAGUUUCCAUAGAACUCUGCUUUGGCACAGUCUCCCAUAAUAAAGAAUUUUCUUGUCAGAUAAACUUGAGAAAGGCUCAUUUUGUAUAAUCCAUAUGGAACCACAAUCUAAAGGACUUGAGAAUUGAGAAGGUAAACAAACUUGUCUAAUUUUGCAUAAUCUACCUUUUUUUAAAAUUUCAUUCAAAAAAUUGUUUUCCAGAAACUUUUUCCAUGUAAGACUUGGAACUCAUAACUACUUUUCAUAGUUAUUUCUUUCUCCUUUGUCAGAUUUUCAGCCUUUUUUCUUUCUGUUGUGUGUAUGCUUGCUUUCCUUUCUACAUUGCAAUAAGCCUCAAAUGAAUGUGUGUAUGCAUAAAUAGUCAAAGGACUGGAGGCAAGCCUAUGAAUAAAAUGCUUUAGCUUGAAGACACUUUUUUUAGUAGGUCAUAGUAUAGAAAUUAGAAUUGUAAAAUGAGUUCCCACAGGCUCAUCAUUGAGCUUCAGCAAUUAUCCACUACUAGCCAAUCUUAUAUCUCAUUCACUACAACAACAUUUCCCUUCCUAUAUUGGAGCUAUGUCAUUUCAUCUGUUCAUAUUUCAAUGUGUACGUCUCAAUAAUAGAACUGUAAAAAAAAAAAUAGAACAAUAUAAUGCUUAAAUAUGUUAUUUCUUAAAUAUCAAAUAUCCAAUGAGAGCUUAACUUUCCUUGAUAUUUUAAUAAUAAUUUUUAAGCAUUUCAUGGUUAUUGAUCCAUUGUUCUCAGUUAUUAAUGUUCAAAUUGUCCCAUUUUUGCCCAAUAAACUGUAUAAAUUGGUUCUUGAAUCUUUUUGACAGGAUUCUAGUGGUCUAAAUAGUGUCCUUGUUUUCUAAUUUUAAAAAGGUAUUCUUGGCUCACUUUAUACUUUUUCUCUUCAGGCAUGGAAUUUAUUAUUUUUCUAAGGAACUUUUCUUUUUUUAAGUAAACAAAGAAACCACAGUCUGAGUACUAGGGAUGCUAAGUAUGUUAUAGUCACUAAUCCUUUUCAGUGAUCAAAACUGGGAAUAAAAAAAAUAUACAUAUUAUACAUACACAUGUGUACAUACAUAUACGCAUACAUUAACUUUUAAUGCUCUUGCCAUAGUGUGUAUAUUACAUAAUGAUUUUACCACUUGCCAAAGACAAAACAAAACAGAAAAUCAUGGUUAUGUAGUUUUGUCUUCAUUCUUGAUACAGCGAGGUAUCAAACAGUUUUAUCUUGUAAAAUGGGAACUCAUUCAGUUUGUUUUGUGUUUUGUUUUGAAUAAACACAGUGUCUCACUUUGUUGUAUAGGCUGGCCUCAAAUAUUGGAUUGUCCUGCUUCUUCCUCUUGAGAACCUACGACUACAGGGUUAUGAUACCAUGCCCAGUUUUCAUUUCAGUUUUGAUUAACUUUCCUCCUAUGAUUGAAGUUGAGCUGUUUUCACAUGCUUAAAUGCUAUUUAUUUCUAUUUCUGUUAACUUAAUGCCAUUUGCCUAUUAUUUUUCUGAAUGGUCUACUGAUUUCUCAUAAUUGAUUUUUGUGUAUUCUUUAUGUGUUUGUCCCUCUCUUAUCAAAGCAAACCUAUCAAUGUCUUCCUUCCCUAGUAGAUGCCUGAGAGUUCAGACAGUGCCAAACCUUAUUUAUACUGUACCCCACCCCCCAAACAUGAGAUAGCUACUGUAGGAGAUUUACAAUAGUAAUUAGAAAUAAUACACUGUAAUAUAAGUUAUGUAAAUGUGAUUUUUCUUGGAGCAAGUAGUAUAUAUAGUGUGGAUGCUUUGUGGAUAAUUCACUUUCCAUGUAGAAUUGAGAUUUCAUCAUGGUACUCUGAAUGGCAAUGAAUUGUUUAUUAUCAGGAAUUUUCCAUUAAUAUUUUUGGAUCAAGUUUGACUGAAACUUUGGAAAGUAAAACCACCGUAAGGUGGGACUGUGUUAGGAAAUCAGUUCAUAAAUUACAGCUUAGAGAGCAAAUUCAGAGAGCAAAUUCAGGGCCAGACACAUUCUAGGCAAAUGUACUACCACUGAGCUAUACCACCAUCCCAUAAGUUAGAUUUUUCUAUGUGUGUAUAUAUAUAUGUGGGAGGGGAGAGACAGUGUGUAGUGCAUAUUAUUUGUAAAAUUUUCUACCACUAAUGCAUCUUUUUAUUGCUGUUUUGUAUGUGGGAAGAUUGGUCAUCUCUCAUGUGGGAAGAUUGGUCAUCUAUAUAAAUACCAUCUUAAUAAUAUCUUUUGAUAUUUUUGUUUUUUCAGAUAGUUUUAUCUUGAUCCCUACAGUUAAUCCUUUUUAUUAUUUGUUGUUAGUACCUUCAGAAAAAUGUUAAAAGCAUUAGUAGCAGUAAUAUUUCAUCAUGAAAUGAAUGAAAAUGCUUUGUUAUUUUUAGUACUAUGUGUGAUGCUGGAUUUUUUUUUUUUUAAGAGAGAAUUUUUUAAUAUUUAUUUUUUAGUUUUCGGCAGACACAACAUCUUUAUUUGUAUGUGGUGGUGAGGAUUGAACCCAGUGCUGCGUGCAUGCCAGGCGAGCGCGCUACCACUUGAGCCACAUCCCCAGCCAAAUGAUGCUGGAUUUUUAUCUUAAGAUAGAAUAUAAACUUUGCAUGUUUUAUUAAAAGCUGUAGAGGUUUUUGAUCAGAAAUGGAUUUUUACCAUGCCUUAUUUAUUUAUUAAGCUAUGAAGGUCCCCCUCCCUUCCAUUUGUAUUGCUCCCGAACAUUGAACUAACCAUUUCUGUUAUAAAUCUCAUUUUUAUAUUUCUUUGCUAAAUCAUUAAAAUCUGCUCUUCUCUCUUCCUUUCUCCUCCUCCUUCUACCUCUUUCCCCCCUUUUCUUAGGGAGUUAUUAAGGAUUGUACUCAGGGGACCUCAGCCACUGAGCCACUCCCAGCCCUGUUUUGUAUUUUAUUUAGAAACAGAGUCUCACUGAGUUGCUUAGCACUUCACUUUUGCUGAGUCUGGCUUUAAACUAGUGAUCUUCCUUCCUCAUACUCUAGGAUUACAGGUGUGUGCCACCGCGCCUGGCUCUUGCUCUUCCCUUUUUAAAUCAAGUUUUAAAAGUAAGAUUGGAUUGCAAAUUUUAGGAGAAGCAUUAUUUUUGUCAGGAAUCUGUAUUACUGGUCUUUAUAAAAGUAAUUGGAAAGUUUCCGUCUUUUUUUGUGCUCUGAGAUUUAGGUAGAUGUUUCUUAAAAGUUUAUUAGAAUUCAUCUGUGAAACUUAGGACCUAGAAAAUUUUAUAGCAUAUCUUUUUUAAAAGUCUGUAGAAAUGAUUGCUUUAGGGGGCUGGGGAUAGCUCAGUGGGUAGAGUGCUUGCCUCACAUACACAAGGCCCUGGGUUCAAUCCCCAGCACCACCAAAAAGAAAAGAAAUAUUGCUUCAGAUUUUUAAAAAAUCUUUUCUGACUUUAGCUUGGUACUUUGGUAGUUUAUUUCAAAGAAAUGUCAUCUUUAUAUAGAUUGACUGUAUUUGCAUUGGGAUGAGGAAAUGUAAUUUUAUCUUAAAUCAGAAGUUAUUUGCACUGUGUAACUUUUAAAAAAUUCUAAUUCUGUAACAUUGUUAUGAGGCCAUGAACUAAAAAACUUGCAGCUGGAUUUUAAUAGGCACAAAAUCUUUUAAAUUUAUCAUAAAUUUAUAUGUGCAGAUUUAAAAUUUAUACCUGGGGACUUUAAUAUUACACAACUCUGUUCACAAGUCACAGAACAUGUAAUUGUUUCUACAUUUCACAUUAUGUUGUACUUUUGAGAUUGUACUAUAAAUCUUGUGACUAUGAGUUAUUUCAAUAUGCUGCUAACAUUGAUUUAUGUUCAUUCAUGUUACUUUAAUUUGAAUGUCCUGUUUCCAAACCAGUCACUUAAUGUAGCAAGUACUUAGUCUUGACUGUUUCCUUAGUUCAAAUUUUAUAAUAUUCAGUUCUAAAAGCUUUGUAGGAAAUACUGCUGUUUCCAGUAGAACAGUUCAGGGUUUUCACUUCAUUUAUCGAGAUGUUUAUAUUUAUAUCAGUUAUACAUCAAACAUUUUUAUGGUAGUCGUGAUUAUUUAAUGUAAUUUGAUGAUAAUAUACAUGCAAACUUUUUCUUGUAUUUGUUAAAGGCUUCUAGUUAGUAGUUACUAUACAUGUCAUUUUUAAAUUAACAAUUGAAAUGCAAUAAAAUUCACUUAGCCUAUUAAUUUUAAUUAGACAUUGAUUCAGAAACUACAGCCAAGAAUUUGAAAUUGAAGUGCCUUGGGAUUGUUGUUUUAUAUUAUUGUAUUGUAAAUAUAUUUCUUCUGGUCAAAUAUUGGUCAGUAGUAAAAUAGCUUUACUCAGUUAUGAAAAAUUAUUGUUGUAUUCUUUUGUAAAGUUUAUUGAAUCACAAGUCUGGUGAUUUUUAGAAAUAAAUAACCAUAAAAAGUAAAUUGCAAAUUAUAAUAAUAAAUAGUAAAACCAAAAAAGCAAAUGAGUAGAUAGUCGUCUACAGUUGAAUUUGGCUAUUUUAAUUUAAAUAUUAGGCACUACAAAAUUUAUUUUUUUCAGAAAUUAUUAAUGUUCUAUAUACCAAUGUUCUUAAUUUUUUAGGCUGCAGUUCAUGGAGCUCGUUUUAAAGGGCAGGAUCUAAAACUGGCAUGGAAUAAACCCAUAACUAAUAUUUCAGCUGUGGAAACAGAAGAUGUUGAACCUGAUGAAGAGGAAGUAUGUUUUUCUUUUCCACUUGUUUUUGCCCUUUAUUGUUCGUAGUAUAUAUAUAAAGUGUGAUUUUUUUUUUUUUUUAAAUGGCCGUGAUCUCAUCAUAAAGCUUUUGUUCUUGAGCCAUAUUCCAGACAGGGGAUAUCAGAAAAAUGCAGAUGACUUUAAAUUUUCUGGAUUCAUGACAAGGAUUAUUGAUUACUAAUCCAAAGAGAGAAUAUAUGAAAGUCAUAUUUUAAAUUUAUGUGUAUGUGUACACACAUAUAUUUAAAUAUCUAUGUGUGCACACACACAUACACUUAGUUUUCAUUUACUCUUAGAAGACAAUAAUUAUUCAUUAGUUUUUAUCCACAGGAAAUUUGUAAUAUUUUAAGUUUUAGGAUAUCUAUUCUAUUCAAUUGCUGUAUUAACGUUUCAGCUUUCUUGUAAUUCAUAUCGUUUUAGUUCAUUAGUGAAUGCCUACUAUAUGCUAGAUUCUGUGAUAGGCACAAGAAUGAAUAAGACACGGUCCCUAUCAAGGAGCUUAUAAUCUGGAAAGGAGGGUGGUGGCAGAUACCUGAGAAACUAAUUACAAUAAUAGGCAGUCUGAUAUGCUGAAUAAAGAUUUGAACAACGUGCUGUGAAAACCCUGAGGGAGGAGAGAUUGUUUCUGUCCAAAAGAAUAUUCAAGGGUGGUAUUGACAGUGGAGCUGGACCCUGAGUGAUAACAUAGCUUUCCAUAACCAGAUUCUGGAGCUGGAAAUAUAGUGAGAAACGUAUUUUAGGCAGAACCACAAACUUCAGAAUAGGUAUGGAAAAGUGCAUUUUUCUUGGGUAAUAGUGAUUAAUAUGAUGACUGAAAGGUGUGGGCAUCUUAAACAGGGAAGUGAGAGAACACUUUGAAACCAAAAAUUUUAAAAGUAAGCAACUCUGUUUUGCCUAGUCAUAAAGGAAACUGUAGGGAAAACUAAGAGGUUAAGAAAUAAAGGUAAGGUGAGGAGACUAAAUGAUUCUUUUUUUUACCUUUGUUAGAUUUUCAUAAUGGCACUUCAUUUUGUUAGAAGAGCAUUUCAAGGCUGUUAUACAUAUCCAUAGUCAAAUGAAAGAAUAAAAUGUAUACUUUGAAACUCAUAUACAUGAUUUGUCAUUUUAUGUUUUAGAUUAUACCUUUGUCCUUCCAUGAGUUUGAAUUGAAUGGGGAGAAAAGCAGGAGAGCUCCUGGUAUUAGGUAUUUUGAAAAGUCUGGAACAGCAGUCUGAGAAACUUUUAUGAAGGGAUUGGGGAAAAGAAAAGAAUGCUAUAAAAUGUUUGUUACGUAUAGCAGAAAAGAAAUAGAUAAUUUAGUCGAAUUUUUACAAGCCAUUAGUUAAUUUAGUGUUCAGAGUUAGAAUCAAAAACCUAAUGUUUUCUUUUUUUAAAGAAGUAUUAAGUAGUAGUAUUUUGAAGGUACGGAUGGUGGUUUAAUUUGUUAGAUGCAGGAGAAAUGGCAUAUACAAAGUCUUAAUUUGGUAUUUCUUUGAUGCUUGUUUCUUGCAAGCAACAGAAUAGAAAUAAUUGAGUGGAUAACAGUUACUUUUGUUUCUUUAAUGUUCUAGCUUUAAAAAUACCUAUUGUAUUCGACUCAGAGAUCAGUGUUUAAAAGUGUCACCUUUUUUUUUUUUUCUUUUCUUUUCUUUUUUUUUUUUGUUGGGUAAAUUCCUAAAUACAUUUUAACCUAAAGUUUCAGGAAGAGUCUUUGGUGGAUGACUCAUUACUUCAAGAUGAUGAUGAAGAAGAAGAGGACAAUGAAUCUCGUUCUUGGAGAAGAUGAUUUGACUGAUCAUUGAUCGGCAUAUGCUAGAACUCUACCUGUGUUUCAUUAGUAUUAUCUAAUGUACUUUUACAUAUUUGUAAAAACAAUUUUUUGGUAAAAUGUGAUGAAGAUGGAUUUCACAAAUAGACAAAAGAGAAGAAAACUACCUUCUGAUCCUGUAUUUUGAAAGAUUGAUGUUUGCAUUUUAUUUCAGUAAACAAUUGCUAAAGACAUCAUACUAGAACAUAUGCAAUGUUUUUAUUACAUACUUCUACUGAACAUUACAGAAUUCUUUGGGUUCUUUGUAAUUUAAUGAAUAGGUCUGAAAAAAUAUGACCCAAUACUUGUUAUAAUUUAGAGGAUUUUGUUUUACUCCAAAUAAGGAAUGAAUUUGCAUUUAAAAUCUUAAUGAAUGUUUUCAAAAUGAAUAGAUAACAUAGUACUCUAACUAAAGUCUCCAAGUUAUGUACUCAUAAUAUUACAUAGUAGUAUGCUUAGGCUUUACUAUGUAUUAGCCUUUUGUUGGACUUGUGUAUGUAUUUUAUCACAUGGGUUUUAAUAAUAAUGGUGUAUGACUGCUUUACAUAUGAGUCCUUAUGCAUCUGGAUGUUAAAAAUAAAGUGGAAUGGUCUCUUAAAAAGAAAAGAAAAGAAAAAAGUGACAAAAAGAAAAAAAAAGUCCAAGACAAUGUUCCUUGAUUAAAAAAAAAAGAAAAAAAAGAAAGAAAAAAGAAAAGAAAGAAAAAGAACAAAGGAAAAAAAAGAAAAUAAAAAAUUAAAAUAAAUAGACCAUUCCAGAUGGUGAUCUACCCUUCCCCCCAAUUAUCACAAAAGAAGCUAUAAUCACUUAUUCUUAAUGAUUAAUGAUACCUUUACAAUAAUGUACAAUCCAAUGUUUAAAAUUCUACCACUUCAGUUUGGUUUCAUCCUAUAAAUUUUCAACAGAUGUCUUAAAAUUUAAAAGCAGGCUGAUUAGUUUGGAGCCAGACUUCAAGUAGAGCUAACAUUUGGUGAAUAAGAAAGCAUCAUUUUACAUUUUGGAUGUAUGAAAGAAAACUUGACCAUUUGAAGAUGUAUGAAUAAAGAAAUGUACUAUAGAUACUACUUUAGGAAAACACUGUUUGGUAAGUGUUCCAGUCUGAUACUUUAAGUGUGCAUUUCCUAUACUUGUAUAAAAAUCUUUGAAAUUUGCAACAAUAUUGUGAUUUUUAAGUGGAUUUCUCUGGCAAGUGAACAUGAUUAUUGAAAGUUGAUAUAUCGGUUUUCAGGAAAUAAAUAUAUUCUUUGUAGAAUGAGGGGGUAGGAGAUUAUUAUAUUUAUUUUUAAAAUCCAUCAUUUCAAUUACAAGUGUUUCUGCCUCUCUUGAGAUUAUAGAGAUAAUAUUAAAAAUCACAUUUUAAAAAAUCACUUUCAUUCAUAUUGGAGACCUUAUAAUCAAAAACUAAUUCCAUUUAUGGAUGCUAUUUUUUUUUUAAACUUCCCCAUACACUUUGGGUUGAAGUUGUACUUUCUUGAUGGUAAUACUAUUUUGUAGGAAUGUUUUGACUUGCAGUUGCUUAUAUUUAAAAUUACACACUCAGAUUUCAGUUGUCAAAAAUACUUACUUUACCAAAAACUUUACUUAUAUCUAUGAUAUACUUUUAUGUAGUCUUUUGUAUGUUGACUAUGUGCUAUUCUGAUUCAUUAGGUAAGUUUCUUUUCUUUUCUUUUUAGUAGUCGUGAAAGGUGCCAAAUUGGCAGAGGCUCACGUUUCUUCUCUUUACACCAAACAGGUAUUAUAAAGAAAGUAAAUCUUUCGAAGGCCAGUUAAAUCUCCAUGCUGAUUUUUGGCUUUAUAAUUUGAUUAGUAAAUUUUUGCCCAAUGUUUCAAAAAUUACUGUAAAAUUCCCUUAUAAUGUACCUGAAAUUACCUGCUGUGUUUAUUUCAGCCCAUAAACAGCUAACCAGAAACACCUAGCCUAAAUUUCCUAGUAACCUAGAAUUUUAAAUGUUUUAACCAUGUUGCUUUAAAUGAAUCAGAAGACAAGUAUGUUUCAGUUUGAUCUGACAGUAUGAAGAUUAAAUAUUACCAACAUUCAUUAGGUUCAGAAAUUAUACUUUUAUAGACAUUAGUAUGGUUUUAAUUAUAAAUAUUACUUAUUAUGGAUUUUUAUGGGUAUGUUUAUAAAUACUCAGUCUCUGUGUUGUACUUUUUACAUGUUCUUUUAUUUAAAGUAUUCAUUAAUUUUAAGUAGUCAUUAAUUCCCAUUUUACAGAUAAGGAAACUUAGGCUAAUAGAAAUGGAGUGAUUUACCCAAAGUCAUGGCUCAUGAGUGGAAGGACUAGAUUUGAAUAUAAGCAUUCUGAUUCAGUGCCAACUUUUUGUUUUGUUUUUGGUACUGGGGAUUGAACCCAGGAGUGCUUCACCACUGAGCUACAUCCCCAGAUUCCUCCCAACCCCCACCCCCUACCUUUUUUUUUGUUUAUUUGUUUUGUUUUGUUUUGUUUUUGAGACUAGCUCUAAGUUGCUGAAGGCCAAACUAAGUUGCUGAAACUGGCCUUAAACUUGGGAUCCUUUUGCCUCAACCUCACGAGUAACUGGGAUUACAGGCGUCCCCACUUGUGCCAGCCCCCCCCCCCCCAAAAAAAAAAAAUUAAACUACAUUACUACUUCUUUCCUAAUUAUUGAUAAGUCAUGAGAUUGUGUUUAUAGUAAAUGUGGUAGUUCUUAUCUCAGAGAUACUGCACAAAAUUAAUAUAUUUAUUUGUCAUCAGGAAGUUCAUACUUUUACCCUCCCUUUUAAUGCAGCACUUUGUUCAUAUCUUUGUUACAAUACUUACGUUGUAAUAUAAUUUAUCUGGUUAUAUGUUACAAGCUCCUCUAGGAAGGGGACCAUGUCUUAUUCAUCUUUUUAUCUCUACUGCUUAUCAUAAAGCCUGGCUCAUGUGGGCACUCAAAUGUUUGUUGGAUAAUAUAGUGAAUGAAUGCAUAUUUAAAUCUCCAGUAAUGGGGUGACAAUUACCUCCCUUGUUAAUUCUUAUCAAUUUUACAAAAAUUUCUUUUGAUGGUCUUUUCAGUCACUGAGACCAUUUUGCUAAACAGUGGAUACAGUUAAACUUCUCUUUAGAGGGUUUAUACUUACAGUCUUAGUGAAAUUUCCACAAUAAUUAGUAAGGCAUUAAUAUUUGGGAGUGUUAAAUGUUGUAAUAUCAGAGGUAAUAUAGCCUUUGAGUUUCUAUUAGAGAAUGUGAUUGCAAAUACUGAGAAUCACCAAUCUAGUCCAUCCCACUAAUUUUUUAUAUCCAAAGGUGACCUAGUAUAGAAAACUGGACAAGUGUUAAGAGAUAACAGUUUUUGGUCUCAGCUCUGCAACUAACUGUGGCCUUAGACAAGUCUCUUACCUUAUCCAGGGUUGUUUCCUUGUCUGUAAAAUGAAAGGGGUUGGACUAGAUGAUCUCUAAGAUCCCUUUCAAACGUGUAGUUUCUUUGGUGCUAUUUUAGUGUUCCAAAACAAUUUAAUAUAUAUAAAUCAAUUCUUUAUGUCUGUUGUUGCUGUUGUUUCUAUCAUCUUAUCAGUGGAAACAACUUAGAUGUCGUUUUGAUAAUACAUAUAAUAUCUCUUGGUACAGUUUUAUAUGUAGACUUCCCAAAUUCCAUUCAACCUACUAAUAAGUAAAAAUUAACUUCUCUAUUCACUAGCAAACUUCCAUUUCCCUAUUAUAACUUUUCCUUUUGUUUCUAAACUCAAGGUUUAAAAAUAAAAAUAUCUGCCUGUAAUGCAGAAAGUCUCUUCAUAUGCAAAUAUGGAUUUAAAUCCUCUGUUCAUUUCAGUUUACUUUCUUUUUUUUACAAUAUGCUACCUAAAAGUAGAAACAUUUUUAAAUUCUAUAAUUCAACUAACAAGUUUUUUGCUUUACUGUGCAUAUAUGAGCUGUUGCAGGCAGAGUUGGGGAUGGGAAAAGGAUUAAGGGCAACUUAGGUUAUCUGCUUAUAAGAAAAAACAGGAAAAUUAUAUAUUACUGGUUAAAAGAUUGAUUAGGAUUACCUCAAGGGAUGGUUGAGUUGUCAUUUUACAUAUUUCAGUAUUUUAUGUCUCUGAGCAGUUGUUGUUUUAAGUGUUACUGGAUAAUUGUAACAUUAUAAAAAUUAAGUAUUUAAUUGAUGCCCAUACAUUUAAUGAAACUAUGAUGCAGGAAUGGAGAAUAUUCCAUAACUUUUGUUUUAUCGUCAUAUAAUCCAGUGUAACAACCAGUAGUGUAAAGACAAGGCUUCACUGUUUUAGCUGAUUACUUAUAACAAGUAUAGCUGAACUUAAUAGAAGAAAACAUCUUGUUACUAAAACUGGUUUUGGGGCACUGUAUUUCCAGUCUUAUUUGGAACACUAACUAUUGGGCAUAAAGGUCUUUUAAAAAAAAAGCAGUUGCUUGUUUGGUAUGUUGAAAUAUUAAUGAUUGUAUCAGAGUAUCAUACAGAUUUUAUCCAUCCAUAUUUUCUUUUUUCCCCUUACACAUAAUACAGACUAAUUAUAGAAAAUUAGAUUUAGUUCUCCUAGAAUUUACCUAAGUAUUUAUGAGCCUCUCCCCCUUUUAUAAAAAGUUUGCUAGCCUUUUAAAACAGAUGUCCUGUAUGAUUGUUAAAUUAGUUCACUUUUUUGAGCUUUCUUUCAGAACUUCUAAAAUCCUAUAAAUUAAAAAUGGAAAUUUAAUGUAGAAUUAAAUCACCACUGUAAAAUAUUUGUAAGGCAGAAGGAAAAUUUCUUUUUCCCAUAUAUUAGAAACUUAUUUUUGUUAACAUCUUGAACUGGCUAGUUCUAAGGUAUGUAUAUGAUUUUUAGAAAAGAAUAGUUCUAUUUUUUUCUCUUUGACAUUAUAUACUUAUCAAAUGAAACAGUCUUCUAAGAUAGCUACCUAAAAGUCCUAGGAAGAAAGAAAUUUUGGUGAACAUUACUCCCAUUGUCAAUAAUUUCAAAUGAAAACAUCAUACUUCUUUAGUAGAAAAACACCUAAUAUCUUGCACUUUGUUAGUAUUUUGUGCUCAUUACUUAAUUAAUUGAAAGCACUCUUAAUUUCACAUCACAUUUUUAUAUUUACUCCUUCCUAAGUCUCUCCCUUCGUGUUUCUUUAUUUCAUCCAUUCACUUUUCUUCUCAUCAUCCAAAGUUAGUCUUUUUUGGUAUACCAGACACUGUCUCAUUUUGAUGCAUUUCUUUUUGACCUUAGUACUUAGUAUAGAAUUUUAUAUCAUACAGAGUGUUUAAAGAAUGAAAUGGUAAUUGAAUGGAAUUUAAGGAAAUUAGUUACACCUUGCAAUUACUUUAAAGAAAAUUUUUAUUUUUAUUUAAAAUACCUUGGAGUUCAUGUUUUUUAAAUUUUUCUCUGCCUACCCACAUCUCUAUGAAUAUAUAACCUGAUAAGGAUCUAGAUUUCCUAACUGAAAAUUUCAGUCAGAACCAUGUUAUAGUGCUGUGAGUUUUGGAAGCUUGAUGUUUCAAAGAAACAUGAUGUAGAGAAGUUUUGUUAAAAUCACUUUAGUCCAAAGCUAGUCCUUUGUGUAAUUUGUCUGCAACUUUGAUUAUGAUUCCUUUCUCAAAAAGAUUAUUUUAAUGUUUAGAAAAGUUGAAGAUCAAUUUAUGGUGUGACUCAAUUUUUAGAAUUAUUUGCUUCUUGCAAAGUUUUUUUUUAAUAGUCUUCUCUUUUUUCAGCAGAGAGAGAUCAUCAUUGCCUGAAUUUAGUUUUGUGACUACAAGAGCAAGACCUGUUCCUGUCCGGAGACGACUGUUAAUGAUAAUAUCAUCCUAUCAUUUUGUUGCCCUUUAUCAAUUGAAUAGAUGUUUACAUGUACUAUAAUUAGCAUUUUAUCUUUACAGUACACCCGAGUCCAGAAGUAUCUGAAUGUGUGUUCUGUGUGACCUUAUUCAUAAAGGUUUUUUCCCCUUACUUUAUAGCCACUAUUUUUUUAAACACCUUAAAGAAGGAACAAGGCCUCUUAGUUUCCUAAUAUGAGUACAUUCAACCUCAGCCAAAUUGAGAAUUGUGUCUGGGAAAUCUAUAAAGCCAUGAUACUGUGUGUGUUCAUUAGCAUGAACAAUUUAUAAUGAAGAAAAUGAAUUAAAAAGUUAAGCAUAGUUUGGUUUUAAUUUUUUCUUGGUUUUAAGAUAUAUUUCUGAGAUUACAAGAGUCACUUAAAAUAAUUUUGAACAAAUGAGAUAUUUUUACACACUGUAAUGCUUGCCCAUUUCUUAAUGAAUAUACUUCAUUGCCAGCACCGCUUACCCAAAUAUUAUUUUUUUUUUAAUUCUUAGCUCUUCAAAACAAGGAGAAUAAUUUUCUUUUUGAGUAAUAAAUGAUGAUCUGUGGAUUAUAAAUAUUGAAAGAGAUCUAUUAAAUGUCCAGUUUACACAGCUUUUCCUGUUUUCUUCACUUGUAAUCAAACAUCAAAAGAUGAUCAAAGAUGAGCAAAGGGAAAUAGUAUAAUGUGUCUAACAUUGUUAAAGACUAUAUAGUUUCAGCUGCUUUAAAAAGUGCUUAGUGCUUGGUUCAGUAGCACAUAUACUAAAAUUGGAAUGAUACAGAGAAGAUUAGCAUGGCUCAUGCUCAAGGAUAACACAAAUUCGUGAAGCGUUCCAUAUUUUAAAAAAUGUGUAUACAAAUUAUUUAUAAACAAUGGCUUAGAAUUACCAAGACUAUGAUUAAAUCUCAUGUACACUCAAUAUUUUUAAAAAAAUUUUCUCAGUAUUCCUUCAUAGAUUCUUAGGCAUUUGAGCACUCAAGUCUUUAUUAGGAAAGUGAAGUUACACUGAUUCUAUUCACCAUUUUUUUUAAGUUCAUCCAGACAUACUUUUUUUGUGUGCAAAGCUGACUAUUCUACAUUAUUUUCCCCUUGAAUAUGCAUCGUGAUUGUCUUAUAAAAAAUGAAGAGAAUGUAAUAAACAUAUAAUAUUAUCUGUUUUGAUCCACAUUGGUUACACAGGCAUGGUUAAGGGAAAAGUCAUAUUGUGAAAAGUCUUCUGACAGUUAUUAACAAGGCAUUUGUUUUCUUAAACUUGACUUUUUUGAGGGGGCCGGGGGCAUUCGCAUUUACAAACUAGCAGGUAGCUAGCUACCGGAAAUUCAAAAACAUUUUCCCAGAUUAGUUUGGUACUUUUGAUUUUCAAGGAAAGACUCUCUGCCCCUAAAGUAGUAGUUCAGCUGCUAGAUUAGAACCCAAAGAACAUCUUCUGAAGAGACCCUACUUGCUCUUAAGUUUUGUUUUUUUUAAUGGAUGUGGACCAUUUACUACCACCUUCAACUUUGUCAUGGUUUUUCCCUUUGCUUUUAAAUUAAAGCAAAUUGAAUAUGCCAAUGGGAAUCAAAAGUCAAGAUGAUUUGAUUCUCAUUAAGAUCAUUGUGUUUUUUGAAAAUUGCUGUGAGAUCCAGUUGGUCAGUUAUGUAUUUAAAUCCUCAUAUGUUGAUUAAAGAUAGGUUCUCAUUUUUUAAAUUUUCUUAAAUAGGAUUCUCAUGGAGCUAUGUGUAGAUAACUGUACAGAAUCACUUUUAUGUAAUGAAUGAAGUGGUUUACCUCUGCAUGAUUGCAUUAUGGAAGCCUUUUAUAUAUCUUUAUAUUUUUCAAUAUACUUAGAUUUUACACUAUUAGCCACUCUAGUCAUGCUAUAUUUGUUUUUUUAAUAGAGUUUAUAAAUAUUUAUGCUCAAAGUACAGAUCAACUGAAUAUUUUUGGUCUUGUUUACAAGAUAAUACUUUAAAGUGAUACAGGCCCCUCAAGUGUCUUAGGAAAAAGUCGUUGGUGCUACAAAACCUUUCAUUAAUCAUUUUGAACCUGUUGUCUAGACUUUGCUAGGCUUUAAUCUGUGAUUGCUUAUGAUUUAUUCUAAUCUAGCAGCAUAAUUAUAAAAGUGGUUCACGCUGAGUCAAGUAAAGAGCCCAGCCUAUUUGAAACACCUCAUAAGUUAAGGAAAUGGUACAGAAUGACUGUACACUUAUUUGUGCCCAGCUUCCCCUAAAAGAUUAUUUUGAUAAGAAGGUUAUUAAUUUGACUAAAAUUUUAAAAAAUGUAUUCAGCAUGGCUGUUUUCUCAUAUGUCAAUUGGAAAACUUCUCUAGUACUAAAAUAUUAUGUAAUCUUACUCUGCUUCAAGUUGCCUUCUUUCACUCAACAGUAGGCAGAGUAAUUCUUGACUAUUUGCAGAAUACUUGAUGAGUUAUUAAGAGAUGUAUUAUUACAUUGUACAAGUUUUGCAUUGAUGUGUAGAGUUUUUGUUUUGUCCCCAAAUUUUAUUCCAGCACCUUAGUGAAUGUUCUUAAGAUACUAUUGUUAAGUAUCAGCAAAGCAUUCAUAUAUGUUUACUUUUGAUUCUCAGAAUCCUGAACUUGUUUUGAGUGGUACUACUUCAGAACAUACUGUCUGGCACAAGAUUUCCUUUAACAAGUGGUUUGUUUUAACUUAGUUUCUGUGGACUGCUGAAUCUAAAAACACCAAAGGAGUUUUUUCUUGUCUGAAGACUGGAUUGUUCCAGUGUUUAAUACCUGUGCCCAUAAGUAUCCCAUUUCAUGAAUGUGUGUUGGCAUGGGGAAAAAUAUUCCCUGCUCUUUGAGUGGAGCGAAAGUAAUUGGUUAAGCUGUAGCAGCUUUUUGUUUAUUUUUAAAGUGAUAAUAAAACUUGAACUUAAAAAAGGCAAAACUUGAACUAGAAACUACUCUUGUAUGCUUAGAAUGUUUAUAGUAUUACAUGGUUUAUGUGGGGUUGUCAACAUUUUUAUUAUUUAUAGUUGAAUUAUGUUUUGUUUGUUAAAUAUCCAUAAUGUUUAUUAUUUUUAUAUUUCAAAAAUUUUAAAAUAAAAUAGUCUUACUAAAAACAGUUGUUAACGUUUAGAAUUGUCCUACAUCUUGCAUCAGCUGUAUUAUUAUGAACUAGAAAGAUAUGUACCCGAUGGGCAUUAACAGUUGAGAAUUCUGAAAAUUGUCUGUACAAAGAAAUGGCUCCACAUUUUCUCUUGCUUCUUCACCCUUAUUCUUAUUUUUUUUAAUUUAAUUUUGGUUCUGGUGUGUUGAUAGCUUAAUAACUCCUCUCACAUAUGCAUACAUAAAUUUUCAUUACCCUUUUCCUCUCUAGUUUCUGCCUCUUCACUGGUGGAAGUUUUCUCUAUUCAUUUAUGGCCAACAAUUUAGGAGUGAUAAGUAUAGAAAUACUAUUAUGUCAAAGGAGGAAUUCCAUGGAUUUCUAAAAGUGAAGUAUCAAUCCCCGAGGCCAUUGAAAGCUUUCAAAUUUCUCUAACUGAAUUUUCACCUGAAGUUUUUUCCCUUCUGAUCUGAUUUGGCUUACUUUCCCAGCAUUUAGCAUGUUCAUUUCAUAUUUAAUUUUAUCAAAUGGAUUUUAUAAAAACUCUGCAAAAAUGCAUUUUCAUCU
rnacentral:lncRNA from 1 species